CAGGAUCUGUUCUAUAGGCUCGUACCAUUGUGUCCUUGAGUUCUAAGGAGACAAGAACCGAAGUCUGGUUGAUGAAUCAUGACCGUGUGAUCAGAGCGUGAUUAAUGGCUAUGAUGAUUUCUCUUGGAGAUGUUAUCUGUGGCAGUGGAGGAUCGUUCUCAACUGGAGUCUUCUCUGGUUGGGUUGGUCACACGGUUGUCUGACAGACUUCAACUUUUUUCAUCUCUUUGUUGCUCUAUGCAUGGAAAUGGAGUUAAUUAUUCUUCUGUAGAUUAAUAGUUUUCACUUUUCAUUACUAAUUUUUCAACUUAUGUGUUUCAAUUUUGAAUUACAACAACCGACAUCAUGAAUCAAACGAUGUUAUUGACUGGGUUUCCUUUCUGUAAUAGGGGUAGCAACCUGAUUCUGAGAAACUCAGUGGUUACUGGUUAGAGAUAGUGGAGGUAAAUAAUAAUGUGGUGUCACAGAAAAAAUGGCCUGGUUAUGACUGAACUUUAUGAGUUCUCUUAAGAGUUUUGGUGAAUUGAGUUUUAGAGGGGAGGAAGGAUAAGAGAAGACUUCAAAGGCAUUAAAUACAUCAUGGGAUUACUAUCGAGCUUUAAUUUUCUCUCCAAAACUUAACUCGUAAACUGGUCUUGGUAUAGCGGAAAAGUUCCUAAAUCCUAUUUCCUUUCCACCAAAUAGAAAACUAUUUGAUCUUGCAAACUAGUAUAUCCUAAAUCCUGCAAUCCUGUCUUGUUAUAGGGCAAAAGUUCUUUUGAUUCUUCAUAUUUUGUACUGAUAUACACUUGUAAUUUCUCCCAACUAGAGAACCAGUAAUGAAAACUCAGUUUGGAAAAUAAGGAAAUACUCCUAAUAUAAUUAUAUUUUUGCGCCUAGAGGAAAAAUAAGCCAAAUAUACAGAUAUAUUUAUAGGUGUCAAUUGCAGCUACAUAAUUUAAGAAGCAUUGGUUCUUUCAUGAAAUACAUGUUAAUCUACAUAGUGAUGUUGGUCAUCAACUACCAAAUGAAAGAGUGACAUAUAAAGGCAAAACUUCAUGACAUUCUGCCACCAAGGUUUUCAAACUUAAAGGUGAAAAUCUGCAAAAUUGCUUCAAGUGCAGAAACAUUCCAGCUCUCAACAUGCCUAACAAUCUGUUAAAUAAAUAGUUGCAAUCACUAGUUAGUAUGGAUCUCAAAUCACACCAAUAAGUGCACAUAUAUGAUGCAGAAUGAAAAGGGUGCAUUUUGAUUCUGACUUUGAAGUCUUCAUCUAAUUCAUAUAAUGUUCUUCCAUCAAUGGAAAUCAGAGGUCUCCAAGGAAGCUUUAAGUUGGUCCUGCAUAUCAACCGAAAAAAUAUCCGCGAAGAAAUUCAGACUUCAUUGGGAAUAAUACUUGGACUUGGAGGCAGACAUGUAACCAAAAAUAUCUACUUAACACUGUUUUCUUAUUAUAAAUACUGCAAUAGUGCAGCAACUCCUAAGGAAUCCUUAGUAAAAAGCUACUUUUCUGUUUUAAAGGGAAAAUAAUGACAAAGAUAUAACUUUUAUAUAUACUCAGAAGCAUUACAUUCACUGCAUUCUUUCAGCAAUAGAACUACACCAUAUUGCAUUUACGAGCAUUUUAUCAUUCUUUGAACAAUGUGACAAACUGGCAACUGCUAUGAGAUGCAUAUAUGGGGAAAAUCCGCAUGUCGAUAUCUUAAAAUACAGCGCAAAAUGAAUUGAAUAGAAAGUGAAGCAUGGAGAACCUUAGUUUCCAUGUAGCCAGCACAAAAUUUGUGUCAGAAUCAACAUCCUGCAUUACAAAUUUAUAUAAUGAGUGAAGCAUGAAGCUUGCAUUUUUUAAGGAAACGGUAUUGUUCAAGAGGCUAAUGCCCUUUCAGUUGUAGCUAGAUCUAGAUACUAAUCAAAAUAAUUUAUAUAGGCAAUGCAUAAGAAGAAUGAUAAAACUAACAACUAUAUGCAUCUUAAAAGUCCAAUGUGGUUAUUGUUUAUAUUCAGAGUUCUGUGAUUAAUCAGCUAUAAUAUCAGGACUUUCAGUUUACAAAGCAAGAUAGGCUAGAAACUACACUAUAAAAUAGAAAGAUGAACCCACAUAAUCAAAUGGGGAUGUAAUGUGUGUGUGUGUAUAUAUAUAUAUAUAUAUACUGUCACAGUCCAAGCCCUGCACCAAAAGGGAAUAAAUUGGGUCAAAGUAUCUAGAUUCUAGACCAUAGGUGUAGCUUCAAAAUUAGAACAUUUGCAAUGAGCAUAAACCUUCACAGGUAAGUGGAACUGAAUCAAAAUUUCAAUAAUAAAGGUUCAUUGUAUUUAAAGUUUUAGACUUUUCAAUGUGAAUCUUCUUUGACUUUCUUUAUGUAAUAUCCAAACAGGUCUAAUGAGUAAAUGGUUUUACUGUUUUAAUGACAAAGUCCAAAAGAGUGCAUCUUCCCUUUUCCACAAAAGAACACCCUUGGACAAGAAUUCCACCAAUAUUGGAUUCACACCAGUUAGUCUCAUGUAAGUACUACUACUACAUACUUUUACAACUAGUAUACAAUACCUACCUUCUCGAUCUUUUGUAGUUUAAUAGACGCGCAAUCGAAGAAGGGAACAAGCAAUUUCAAGUUGCGUGCAUAUAACUCCCGACCUGUAUGGCCAUGAAUCAUAGCUUCAGUUGAUUGACCCCUUUUCGCACUGAUCAGUUAGCUUUUGCAAGCCUUAAAGAUUUGAAACCAGAAGAUAGAGUUUUUGUGUGUGACAGCAAUGUGUAACUUAAACUACUAAUCAAGCUGCUGAUGAAAACAACAGAAGAGAUAGGAAACUAAGCACAAUACAAAUUAGAAAGAGUAGCGUAAUAGUAGUUAUUGGUAAAAACUGUAACUCUUACCACGAAAUUUAAUAGUUGGAUCUUCAAAGAUACAGUCUUCGGUAUAGAUCGAAGAAGUGAAGUUCCCUAAUCGUCAAACAUAAGUGAGAAAUGCAUUCUUUAGUUUUAAUUUUUAACUUUCAACUUAAGCUUUAUAUGUUACAUUGUUGAUAUUCAAUCAUGCAUGCUAAAAUAAGUGAUAGAUAACACAUCAUACCAGAAAUGAAGGAAAGCUGAUAUCAUAAUAAUAGUAAUAAUAGAAACAUGAAAUAAAAAAUAAUGGCUGCAAAACUUUCAAAAGGAUAGUGAAUCAGGUAGUAAGAGUGGUACUAUCAUAAAAAGUAAAAAUAUCGGAUUUUCUUGAUAAUAAUAAGAAGUACUAUCAUAAAAGUAGUCACAUGUGCAGUGAUGUACAAUUGAAUUACAAGGGGAAACAAAUCUACACAGAACAUCAAAUUAAACUAGAAAAGGGAUGAAAGGGGGUACCUGUAACAAAAUAAGCCUUGCCAUAAUCAGACUCAAUGAUCACUACAACAUCAUCAACACUUGAAACUGAGAAUUCAUCUUUUUGUUUCUCAAUAUCUCGACUCAAAUCGCUGCGCAUUAAUAAGUAGGAUUAAAUAUUAAACACAUAAAGAAUAUUGUGGAUUUCAUUGGCAUAGAUAGACAAUAGUCCACCUUGUUUGAAGGGAAGGAGAGAAAAGCCUCAAGAGUUCUGUCACUCCACUAACUACUACUUUCAAUAUCUGAGGAGUUUUUGUUGUUUCUCUUUUAAAGCUUGCAUUAAUCAUCUUUCUGCUAUUGAGAAUGUGAGUGUUACUGUUUGAGCACAAGUGAUAACUACAUAACUGCAACUGCAAAGUAAUAAUCUUAAUCUGAGAGGCUAUGUAUAUUAUUGUUACUAUCAUCAAGGGAACUUUGAAAAUAUAAAUUCAGCUAUGUAUAUUAGUGUACCUGUAAGUUUAAGGACAGUGGAGGAGGUGUUCCACUUAACCAGCACCAUGUUCUUGUUGCCAUUUUGGUGUCAUAAGAUUUUGGUUCAGAAUUGUUUUGUGGUGUAUGAGAGAGCACCUUUAUAGGCCCAUUAGGACAACAAAGGCAAUGUAAUCCAUUCGACCAUUCCAUUUGGUCAAAAACUAAACUUUGGUUAGGACUUUAGAGCCUCAUAAAAAAGAAUGUCACUUUCAUAAGCUGAAUUGUUUCUAAAGUGAGUAAUUAAGAAUGCUACUUUGGAGCACCAAGCGUUGUGUUGUAAAUGAUUCAAACAUUUUCGGCUUGGAUUAACACACUGAUUUACAUCAAUUAAUUAUAUAUUAAAUUUAAAUUUGUUGUCCAUCUCAUUUAGAUAUCAUUAUAAUUGGUGUAGACUAUUUUGACGAUCUUAUACAACAAUGAAACAUUCAUGAUUUACUUUUCUAAGGUUGAUGAUUUGCACCAUUUCAAACACACAAAUAAUGACAACUAAUCAUGUUUACUUGAAGGAUCACACACCAACUAAAUUAUUUCAUAUGUCUCUUGUCCAGUGAUAGGUCCUUGGAGAUUUUAAUUCAAAAUUGCAGCCCUAAAGAAAAAAUAGUAAUAAAAGUUUUGGGCUAAGAAUAUCACACGCUGGAUAGGAAUCACAAUUUAUAGGAUACCAGAUUUCAAAACUAUAAACUGCAAUGCUUGCUCCGAGACUAAAAGUUCUGUACUUUUUUAUCAUUUUUGGAUUGAAUAUACAUUAUAAAAUGUUACAUGUAUACGGAACAAACUACAAGCUAAUGUAGCUACUUAAUCUUCAAAAUUAUAUCAUACUAGACUUAAUUCAUCAUUAGUAUUUGAAAAUUUAAGGUUAUCUUUAAACUCAGCAUCAAGCUCCUUCCGCAAUGCCACGAGCUCUUCCCCCACAUCACAUAUAUAGGCCGAUGCUUGCCUGCCGGACAAGGUUGCACCUUCCAUGCUGUCUAUGUAGUCCUGAACAAAUUAAUUUCAUAAAAGACAGCAAUAUCAGUGAAACUUAGAUAUCACAACUGCUAUGAAACUAGAAAAAUCAUACUCCAUUUGCGAGACUGCACGGCAAAAAAGAUUUAACAGCUCAUUAAAAUAGUGGCAUCGGCUGAAAAUGUUAAAACUGUUUGGUAAAUUUGAGUAAUCUGAAUCCCAUACAGUAAGGAAGUGAAUGACUAGGCUAGUUUGAUUAAGAUGUGGACAAGCCUAGUAACAAUUUACAUAACAAUCCAAUGUAUAUUUUCAAUCUAGUAAAAAACGGGUGCAUGUCAUAUACAUCAUUUUCCAUCUAACAUUUUAGACCCAUUAGGAAAUUUUGCACUCCUGAAUCCUGAUACUAAAAUAAAUGACAAUAAAAAGGUGGUAUUUCACUGUAGAUUUUGGAACAACUCAACAAUGGAUCCCAUUGAAUCAAGUAUAGCAGAAAGUGGGGGGUUUAUUGUUUGAGUCAAAGGAGAAACUUCACUUUCUAAACUCUAUUUCAUUGGUCAUACUUGAAGCCCAGGAGGCAAGAACCUAUAUAGAGGUCUGAAGAUUAAACUGACUACACCAUAGGGUCUCGUGCAUUUCCGCUAAAAUAAUUCUUGAGUCCAUGAAUUUUUUAGGGUUACAUCUUAUAUGCAUAAGACAAGCACAAGUAUAAUGUUAGUUAAGAAGGUGUGAGGUAUUUGAACUUACUUGCUUUGUGUAAGAGCCAGAAAGAAAGAAAUUUUUCACUGGUGUCUUUUGAUCAGGCCUAAAUGGAUCUUUACCAGGUCCCUCGCGGUACAAAGAUUGUCCAAUUUUAACAACAGAUGACCAAGUCACUUCCAAACCUUGAGCUGAUGGGAAUAGUGAUAAAACCUGAUAAAAAAUUUAAAUCAAUGUAAUGAGAAGAUAUAUCAUUGAAUAAGGACACUGAAAAUAGACUGGAAACAGGAAUUUCUGGUGUAAUUUAUGACAGAAAAUAGUAAAAAGAGUAAAUGCUACACUCAGAACAAUCCCAAUGACCAUUAAAUACGCAUCAAAUGAACAAGUACCAAUUCAAUUACUAACUGCAUUGUGAGACAGGCUGAUCCCAUAUAUUUCAGUGAAAAUGUUUACCACCCACUCAUCAUUGAUAUAUCAUAUAAUAUUGCAUGCUGAUAUAGUAAAACUACUCAACACGCACUAACUACCAAAAGCGUGUGAAUUAGCUCCUUGUUUAGACACACUUCCUAUGUCAUCGCUAAGUCAACUAUGAAAGAAUAUAUAACAAACAGAAUGAGAAAAGCUACUAUUUUUAACCCACCUGUUUUGCUACCCUUGCAACAAUUUCAUCAUUUGGUAAGGGCAUGUAUGGAUCACCUGGUGUCAGAACACAUCUGAAAGAUGAAAUAAUAUUAUGCACUUUGAAGGUCAAGAUAAAAUCAAAUAUACUAUGAAUGUUGCUGACAAAAGUUUAAUGCCAUGAGAAGGAUGAACCAGUAAACCUGAUGCAUUUAGCAAUAUCAGAUACAAGUUGCAUGAUAGAUUGAUUAUGCAGAUUCAUCCCUUGCAUAACAUACUUAGGCACACUAGAUUUUAUGUAAAAACAAAUCAUGAAUGAAAGGGAAAAUUUGUGUUUAUAUGCACGCAUGCACUUACUGGAGCAAUGAUCCUUGUCCCUCAAUGUAAUAAUCUUCAGGAGAUGUGAGUGCAAGGUCUGCAAAGCAAGAAAAAUCUGCAUCAGGGGUAUAGAGAAGGUUGUCUAACCCAAUAGCUUUCCCCAGUUGCCUGCCAUCCAGAAAGUUUUCAUAACGAAGUUCAGCAAUAACGAUUGAAGAUAGUAUAUAAUUCCACAUUCUUAAAACAAAAGUAUUUAACACUAUGGUUUCUAUAUGACCCUAAAAUUUAGAUAAUUACCUUGACACUUCUAGAUCCUGCAACUCUGUAACCCAACCAUUGUAUCUGAGUUGCACUGUAACAACAGGAACUCCAACUAGUUCAUAUAUGUUAUCGAAAAACUGAUGUUUCCUCCACUCUGAUGGAAGUAAUCUUUUGAUUCCAGGGACAUCACAGGCUGAAAUCAAGUGAAAGACAGUUUAAGGCAUGAGAAAUUUUUCCAAAACAUGGGAAUCACAAUACAAACAAACGGUGAGGAAACCACUAACCAGCAACAUAAGCAUCAGCUUUCACAACUUUCUUAUCAGUAGCCUGAGAAAAUAAAAAUUAAUAUGUUGUUAACUACAAACUCACCUAAAUUAUAACCAAGCAUGUAAAGAUUUCAGAAAAUAACACAUAAAGCAUAUCACCUUUGACAUGGAAAGUCCUGUAACAUAAGUACUCCCAUCAGCAGAGUUACCAUAAAGUAUUUCUCUGCAUCCCCACCUAAGAUGGAACCUGUUCCAGCCAUGAAUGGGAAUCUAAGUAGGGAGGAAUUUGGAUAAUCAUCGUGGCAAUAUCUUCAUGUCUAAAAUUAUACCUGCCCCCUCUAUCCGUGAUGUACUUCCGGAUAGGGCCACUCAAAUAAACAUCUGGUGAACCCUUCAGCAUUCUCAAAAGAGAAGCCUCAGUCUUUGUGGCAAACAAUGCAAAUAUAGUGAGCAUGCAACGGGCGCUGAUAUUAUCACAAUCAAUAAACCCAAGGGCAUAGGCAACUGGAUCCCACAUUCUUUGAAUACUCGCACGUGUACCACCUUUGGAUAAAAACCAGUCUGAAAAGCUAACCUGUAAGGAAUAUGUGAAAUGGUCAGAAGAACAGAAGACUGAAAAAUACAGUUGGUGCAAAGUGAAGUGUUGAAGAUCCUUGCUAUUUACUCGUUGUGUGUAUAUGUAUGUUUGUGCAAGUGCAUGUGUGUAUGGGCAUGCACAUAUGUGUAGUGGGAACAGGGAAAGAAACCUAAAUAUAAAGCUGGAAACACAUAAUCAGGAGCAUCAUUUUGGAAAGUUACCAAAAAUAACAAGAAAUAGUUUAUCCUCUUACACUAUCUAAAUUCCUUAUGUCCUGUAAUGCACCAUCUGGAUCAACAAGAGCUCUGACGACAGGACUCAGUGCAAGAGCCACAGCAUUUCUAGCCUUAUCAUAAGUCUGUUCAUAAACAAUAAGUUAAGUGCAAUGAGUUCCAGUGAGGAAAAUGAGCAAAUAUAUAUUUCUGGGUAUACGAAUAUAUUAUAUUUUGAUAUACAAAAAAGUGUAUAAUUCGUCAAUUUAUAAAUAAACAGGGUUUCUGCAUAAUACCAAUGACCAAGCCUGGCAAUCUAAAUGCACGUGAUAAUAGAAUUUACAAUGGCAUUACCUUAAGCUGAUUUGUGGUCAAGAAUGCCCUUAUCCCAUGUAAUGGUGCCCCAACCAGGAAGCGAAAAUCGAGUUCUGCACUGGAAAACUAAGUUAUGAACAAUGCAUUAUAAAAUCAUUAUCUUUCUUUUUAUUUAAAACGUGUGGCAUUCUUAGUGAGAAAAACAAGAAGAAAAUAAUGAACAAAUACAAAGCAAGUUUUUGCUUCCAAAAACAUACCUCCAAUUUGACCCCCUUUGUUUACAAAAGUGUGAGUGUGAUCCUUCACAAGUAGAUUGUUAUUGGCACUCACCUAGUCCAAGUACAGAUGAAGAAAAAGCAAUAAGAUGGACAAGUACAAUGAAAACGUUCAUAUCAAGUCAAUAAAUAGAAGUCUCGUGGUCAAAAUAAUGGUGGAAGAAAACAGAUUUUAGAGUGACGAAGAAAUGCAUUAUGACUGCAAGCAAAAACUGCUUACCUUUUUCAUCAAUCGGAAAAGAUUGUUGUAGCAACCAAAGAAAACAUGCAGUCCCAUUUCAAUGUGAUUUCCUUGUUUAUCAACAAAAGAACCAACUUUCCCACCAAUGAAAGACCUUGACUCAUAUAUAUCAACCUGAAUUACAGAAUUUUGAGAAAAAUAUAAUGAAUUAAACAAAUUAGCUAGAAAACAUCAUAAGGCAUUAAUUCAGAUAGAGAAGGACUAAACCUCAUGCCCUUGAUCCAAGAGUUCCACCGCAGUUGACAUGCCCGCAAGCCCAGCUCCUAUAAUUGCAACCUUCAGCUUAGGCCCUCGAUAAUGUUCAGGUUCUGGAGGAAACAGCCCUUUCGGUGCUGGCAAGACAAGGGAAAAGUUUCUGUUGUCAAACUUGUAAUUUAAGAUUUAAGAAUGUGUAAACAAGUUGCAUAAGCUCACCAUAAUAUAGAACCUGAAUAACAUCCUGCACAAACAAGUUCUCACCCGCAGAGACCCACAUAAAUUACACACAACAAAAGGUUUCACGCCCUUGACCCAAUUAUUCGUGUGUACUAACACUACAGUCAUAAAACACAUAAUAUAGAAUAACAAAUUAAACUGAAGAAAAAACUGAAUUUUGGCCACCGAAAACAUCUAUCUAUGGAAAUAACUGAAAUUCUGCUUUUGAGAGAAACUGGAUUUUGCAGCUUUAAUGAGAACCUGAUUUACAAAAAUGUUUCUGCCAAGACCGUUUUUGGAUAAUCAAGUUUAUUUAAAAGUAUAAACAAAGGCCCUUAAAAAGUUAUCCAUCCAACACUCCCCAAAUUUUUAUUUUACAAAAAAUAAAAUAAAAGAUAGUUGAAAGGGGAGUGGAUCAUCCAAAAUUGAUAGAUAAUGAAUUAGAAUUCAGCAUGAUUUUGAAAAAAUUUCGCCACUUCAAUUUUGCAGCUUCCAGGAAAAGCUGAAUUCUCAAAAUUGUUCCUUACCAAAAUUGCUUAUGGAUAAUCACUUUUUAAAAUUGCAAACAAAAAUGCACUAAGAUUUUUCCUAUCCAUCCCAAUCCAACAUUUCCCAAAAUAAAAAGGAGAUAUAGUUGAAAGUUAAACAUGGCAUUCAAUUUAGCAAAAUUUAACAACUUUCAUCAUGUAUACAGAACAAGUCACAAACAGUAAAAAGGUUACAGCAAACAAUGAAAUAAAAAGUAAUACUAACCAUUAAUACUCAUGUCAGAAACAUUAGAGUCCAAAGAACAACGAAUCCGGUAGUUAAAGGUCUUAGUGAAACGGUUACUUCUGGUUGGGACAAAGAAUCCAACAGAAUCUCUUCCUCGAGUUACGGACAGAGAAGUUGCCGGACAAUGAAUCGGAGAAGCCAUCAUAGUCAGAGAGAAAAGAAAGAAAGAAAGAAAACAGGAACCGACUAUGUUGUUGGAAAUUUAAGGUUGUGGCCUUGUGGGUAUGUGUUAGUAUAUGAUUAUAUGUAGUAAGAAAAAGCAUCAAUGGUUAAAUGAAUAGCUACCAUUGGAGUGAAGGGUGUUGGCAUUGUUGUUUGGUUCAGGGGAUUACUACUUUUGAUUUGUGAAUGUGAUCGCUCCUUUUUUUAUUUUCUUACCAUAGUUAUCCAAAAACAUCAAAUUAUUAUAUUUGUUUAUUUUUUAUUUUUAAGUUUUUCUAUAAACUACACAGAAAAAUUGAUGUAUGUAUGUAAUGUAAACCCAUGGUGAAUGUGUACUUUGUGUAGUGACUCUAUGUAAGUUAUAUGAACAAAGUGGUUCAUUACGUAUUUAUGUGUGCAUUUAAGUAUAACGAUGUUAUAUCGUUAUUAGUAAGAGAUGAUAGUAUUAUAUCAUUUUGCAAAAGAAGGAUAAAAACGGAGACAAAGAAAAUUGUCAUAGUUUUUCAUCUUGGUCAUAUAUUCCAUCAAAUUGUCUUCUUAAUAUAAGAUAAUUUCGAGUCUUCGACUAUUCGGUGUUAAAGCUACACAUAUUUGAUAUGUUUCAUAGAUCAAGUUGCAAAUUUGUAUUCUUUAUUUACGUUUUAAACUUUUUCAUUAUGUAGUAUAAUAUUUUCAAUUUAAAUAAUGUAGUUGUUAAUAUAUAUAUAUAUAUAUAUAUAUAUAUAUAUAUAUUUAUUUAGGGAGAGAAUCCACUUACUUUAGGAGUAGAGUUUUUUAAAGUUAUUCUACAUCCUAGCCAUCAAUUCUAGGGAAAUUCAAUGGUUUGUGAUUUGAAUUUUUGAGUAUAUCUAAAUCGUUAGGUUUUCCUAAAAUUAAUGAUUAGGAUAAAAAAUUAAGUUUAAAAAACUUACAAGUGUUGAUUUAUGAGUAUAUUAUGCAAUAUUGAUUAUAAAUUUGAGCCAUUACAUAUUAAAAUUUGUGUGGGUUAUGCAUAGCUGUAAAUAUAAUUGUCUUUAGUUUAACUAAUAUAUGAUAUUUUGGUAAUUUGAAAGUGUUUUUGAGUCACUCAAAAAGUUAUUAGAAGGAUUCUGUAAACAAAAAUUGAAGGUAGUUUGUAGUUUCUAAAAAAACGAGUUUGUAGCAUUUGAAAGCAAUUUUUCAGAAAGCUACUUUAAGUAGUGUUUAGAAAGUAACUUUCAAUAAUUUGCUUUCCAAUUUUCUUUUUCAAUAUUUUAACAAAUUAUAUUACAUGCCCUCAAUUAAAAAAUCUUAUUAACUUUAUUUGUCACUAAUACCUUUUCCUCCAACUAUAUUUCCUUCAUAGAGAAAAACACCUUCAUUCGUGUGACUUCCCAUUAAUUAUCACUUCAGAUAUGUUAGAAAACUAUAGAAUUUUAUAGGGAUAAAGGAUCCUAUUGAUUCUACAUUUUUUAUUUUAUUUUCUAACAUGAUUACAAGUGACAUUGUUAGAGCCCUCCUAUUUGAUUAUAUACAGUAUAAUAUAUGGAAAAUUAUUAGUCAAAUGUCACAAUAUAGUGUGAAGACCCAAAUCGAUAUUAUUAUGGCUGCAUUUACAUUGCAUAGUUAUAUUCACAUGAACUCAACUAAUUAUCUUGUCUUUAAUAAGUUAGAGCAACAUUAAGAUUAUAUGAUGAACAUGGAAAUAGUAAUAUCAAUUGUGAAACUUCGAAUGAGACAAAUUCUAGAAAGAUGGGAGAAUGUAACAAGAUUUCGCACUUAUUAUGAGAGUCAAUGAUAUAAAUUAUUUUCUUUCAGAAUCUUUUCUGAUGAAAUUAUUUUCAGCUGAAAUUUCUUGUGAUGUAUACAUUAUUCUUACAUUUAAUUGUUAGAUGAAAAUAUGAAAUAUUUUCAUAUUAUAUCUUUUAAUGAUACAUAGUGUCUAUUGUGAUACAAUAUUAUAAACUUAUAUAUCUUAAUUGCAUUUUUGAAAAUAAAUAUUCAAAACAAAAAAUAUAUAUUAAAAUAAAACAAACAAAUAAAUAAAAUAUUACUUAUCCAAUUAUAACCAAAAUAUAAAAAAUAAAUGACUAUUCUAAAUUAUCUACAUAUUUAAUUACUUCAAUUAAUAAAUAACAAAAUAAAUAAUCAAUAAAUAAUGUGUUUCCUUUUUUAAAAUUUCACUUAGAUAUAAAAUUUAUUUUAUCAAACAACUAUAAUUUAAUAAGCUACCUUUAUUGUUACGAGCUUCCGGCUAUCUUCACAACUAUGAUCUUCUAACUACUUUCAUAGUUACAAACUCACAGUACAAGUUCACAACUAAAAACUAGUUUUUAUAAACAAAGUCUAAACAGUAUAAAUCAUUGAGUGAACCAUUAAACAAGUAUCUCAAUAUUCUAAAUAUAUAUUAAUUAAAACAAAAUUUAUUUUAACCAUUCACACACUUGAAUGAUUAGUCUUAUGUGGUUAGAAACAAUCUUAAAACUGUGAUUAAAUAUUGGAACGAAGUUUAGGUAUUAAUCUUUAAGGAAGAUGAUGGACUAACAAAAUAUCACUAGUGGUUGUUGUAAUGGACUCUCUCUAGAUAAUUGUAAGAAUGAGAUUGCAAGAGAGGGGUGAAUUAGUUGACUUGGAAAUUAUGACCAUUUUUUCUGCAUUAUCAAGAGUUAAGAGCAGCGAAAAUAAUUUUCAAAAAAUAACAAGUAAAUAAUUGAAAAGAUAAAGGGAGAAGAGAGUACACCAGAAUUUUAUACUAGUUCACAUUCGCAUACAAGGCCGAAGCUUGCAAUGCUCCCCUGAUACGGUAUGUUACAUCAUAAUGAACUCAUGGUUUUCAAAUCCAAAGUAAUGUCUUUUCCUUUUACAUAGGAAGUAAGACGGUUUUUCCUAAAGUUCAUGUUACAAUAAAAUACUCUAAUCAGUUUAGGUAGCUUUCAUUCGAUUCACAACAGAAAUCGAAAAGGUUUUGUUGUCUAAAGAGAUAAGGAAAUAGAAAAUCUUCAAACUCAAAAUUCUCGAGAUUACCGUAUUUAUGAGUGAAGAUAAUGCGACCAUGGAAGUGUUCCUCAAAGAUUUUACAUUACUCAUUAUUUUCUAGAAGUCGUGUUAACCAUUCACACACUUGAAAUGAUUAGUCUUAUGUGGUUAGAAACAACCUUAAAAACUAUGAUUAAAUACUAGAACGAAGUUUAGGUAUUAAUCUUUAAGGAAGAUGAUGGACUAACAAAAUAUUACUAGUGGUUGUUGUAUUGGACUCUCUCUAGAUAACUAGAUUGUGGGGUUGCAUUGUUGAGAUGCUUGCCAAAACCAAAGUCUUGCCCUUUUUCUUCCUAGUUUCUUGUUGGAGUUAAUGUUACGUGUCAGCUUUUAAAUUAAAAAAAUGUUGCAUCGAAAGUGUGUAACUUUUAUAUAUUAUUACUCCAGCUUCUAUCAUAUAUGUUUUAUUAUUAUUAAUUUUUUUAAAAAUAAUACAAAUAAAUAGUGAAUUAAUUAAAGAGGGGGAUCGGUUUACACCCCAUUUGAGUUACACCAAUUACACUAAAUUUUAUCCCUCUAUUUUUUUAAAUCCAGCAGUCUAUAUUAUAACUUAAAAACCACCAAUACCUCUCUCAUCACCCUUUCAUUUACCUACUUUUAUUUUUUAUCUCCUAAUCUUAUUUGCUCUACCUCUCUCACCACCGUGAAAAAUAAAUCCAACCUAUCAUUCCCAAACUUUCUAUUCCUCCAUUGUCAAACCUUGUUGCAGCUCAUAUGCUAAACCCUUACGCCCAUAUGCACAAAAGGAACCACACAGCUAAUAACCCCAAUUGACCCAACCCUACCAUUGGUGGUUAUUCAAUUAGUUUUUUUUUUUGGAAUAAGGGUAUUGUUAUUUUGUUGUUAAGGUUGAUGUGCUUCAUAUUUUCUUUUUCAUUUUUCAUCACAAGUAGCUGGAAUUAUUAUGCAAGAAAUAAUGUUGGGUCUCUGUAUUUUAAGAAGUAGAAGCUAUAUGAAGCACAAUACAGGGAUAAUAUAUGCUUAUUAUGCAUUCACUUGCAAAGCCAUAGAAGAAUAAUGUUGGGUUUCUGCAUUAUGCAUUAUGAACAAAGUAGUUGGAAUUAUAUGCUUAUUAUGCACUCUUUUUGCAUUAUUCUUGUUGGCAGAGAUACAUCUCAAGAGGAUUCACUUGCAAUAGUUCAUUGAGGGCAAAAUCUUUUUCACACUUGAAUACCACACAUUUUGUGGAAGGGAUAUGUGUACUGAUAAAUUCCUAGUAUAUGUGGUAGUUGUUUAGGAAAAUGUUGCUCAUCAUCAAAUGAAAGUUUAGAAUACUUAUUUUAAGAUAAAUUUUACUCUAUAAAGUGUAUUAUGAGCCUUGUUAUACCUCCUACAAUCCUUAUAAAUAUAAAACAACAAAUGUUUUCCCAUACUUUUGUGUUGAGUUGAUGUACGAUAUCAAGGCUAACUAGUUGGUGUUCAUUUUAAAGGGCAUGAUCAAUACUCAUUCUUAUGUGGAACUCACAAGCUAGAAAGAUAUAGUGUUAUUAAACAUGAACAACUAUUUUGAUGAUAGAAGCUAAAUAAUUUACAACACUUCUACUAAUUAACCAAAAACCAAUUACAUAGAGUCGCAACUCACAUACACUAUUACUUGUACAUUUUGUCCAUUGCCUGUGUAUUUUUCCAAAACUGUUUGUAUGCUUAUUGUUUCCAAAACCAGUUACAUAGAAUCACAACACUAUUACUAGGCAAUUAUUAGAAAAAUGAGAAGUUCAUCUGCAUACAUGGUUUUUGUUAAUGAAGUAAUGUUGCUAGCAUAGCCAAAGUGAAAAGAAGUGUCCUACACCUAAAUGUAAACAAGUGCCCUGCAACUAAAUUUAAACAAGUGCACUGCACCUAAAUGUAAACAAGUGCACUGUAACUAAAUGUAUGUCUUGAUUAGUAUCAAAGUAAUUGGAUUAUUACAAUGCUAAAAACAUAUGAAAGUGAUAAUUUAAUAAAAAUGUAUUAUAAUUUCAACAAUAAUCAAAUCAAAAUACAUAUUGUACUUGUUCCUUGGAGUUUUACUAUAAAUUUCAAUCUAACAAACCACUUAAUCUAUUGACCACCUAUCAAUCUAACAAAACAUUUGCUCCCAUUUGUGAGCAACUUUAGAGCUUCCAGAUGCAAAAAUUAGUUUCAACUUAAUCAUCUGAGGAGCUCUAGCUCCGUUCUACACCUGUUACUAUCACCAAUAAUAAAAAUAAAUAUCUUUUGAUAAAACAAUGAACUCAUAUAAAAAUAUAUAUAAUAUAACAUAAGCAAAAAAAAUGUUACAUUAAAUAUAUAUAUAACAUAACUAUCACCAUAUCAUCUUUAUUUUUUUCAUUCUUCACCUUAUGUUCACCUUCUCGAACACACAUAAAAAUACAAUAAUUAUCUUUUCUAGAACGAGUAUGAAUCCCAAACCCCUUUGUUUUAGCAAAUAUGAUAUAAAAUUCUUCAACUUGUUGUAGAGAAUCAAAUCUCAUUCCAAUAUGAGGGUUAACAUUGAAUUCCCCAAUAGUAGGAGAUUGUAUCAUAUUAGAUAAGUCAGAAUGAGUUACCUGACUAUUAUCUGAAAUGAGGUCACUCUCCAUAUUCAUUUUUCAUGAUGAUGACAAUGGCAUGAGUGAGUCUUCUCCAAUUUAGAAUGAAGAACAUUGGAUUUGGGAAUACUAUUCAACCUGCACUACUAAUGGAGGGAUGAGUUGGAUUUGGAAUGAUAGGUUGUUUUAGGUUUGACUAUGGAGGAAUAGAAAUUUGUUGGGAAUGAUAGGUUGGAUUUAGCAAUUUGGGAAUUUGUGCUUCAUAUGGCUUCCAUCACUUCUUAAAAUGCAUAGACCCAACAUUAUUUCUUGCAUAAUAAUUUCAGCUACUUGUGAUGAAAAAUGAAAAAGAAAAUAUGAAACACGUCAACCUUAACAUCAAAAUAGCAAUACCCUUAUUCCAAAAAAAAACUAAUUGAAUAACCACCAAUGGUAUGGUCAGGUAAAUUGGGGUUAUUAGCUUUGUGGUCCUCUUUGUGCAUAUGGGUGUGAGGGUUUAGCAUAUGAGCUGCAACAAGGUUUGACAAUGGAGGAAUAGAAAGUUUGGGAAUGAUAUGUUGAAUUUAUUUUUCAUGGUGGUGAGAGUGGUAGAUCAAAUAGGAUUAGGAGAUAAAAAAUAAAAGUGGGUAAAUGAAAUGGUAAUGAGAGAGGUAUUGAUGAUUUUUAAGUUAUAAUAUAGACCGUUGGAUUUAAAAAAAUAGAGGGAUAAGAUUUAGUGUAACUGGUAUAACUCAAAUGGGGUGUAAACUGAUCCCCUCUUAAUUAUAUAUAUAUAAAUCUUUAUAAUUGGAUACUUAUUACAAUCUUUUAACAUAUAUGACGCUAGCAAGUGUUUAGAGCGAGAGAACCAUAAAGAUAAGGUGUGAUAUGUAUGGUGCUAGCAAGUCACAAGUGUUUAGACUUUUAGACAAUAAACUAUUUAAAGUCUUCACAAAAGGUCAUACUCUUUAAUUUAAUCUAUUCAUUGGCGGUAGUUAAUUAAAAUUUGAGGGAGAAAACUAUGAAUUACAGUGUAAAAAAAAUUAUAUUAUUUGUAUUUUAUUAUUAAUAAAAGUAAUAUACAAAGGAUAUAUGAUUUAUUAAUAAUGUAAAAAACUCUACAUUUAUAAUACAUAUAAAUUCAUUUCUUUAAAAUAUUUAUUGAAAUAAUAAAUAAAUGUAAAUAAGUAUAUGAUAUAAUAAAUAAUUAAAAUGAUUUAUAUCAAGUAUAAUAAAAUAGUAUAUAUCAUCAUCUCACAAUUUUGUUGGAAACAUUUGUACUCAAUGAAAAUAAUUGGAUAGAUGAUUUUAUAUAAAAGAAACUAACAUGUAUUUGUUUCCAUUUUAAGAAAAAAGAGUUAUUCUUCAUAUUUUUAUUAGGGAGAUGAUCUACUUACUCUAAUAGUAAGUUUUUAAAACUUACUUCCUAUCAUAACCAUCAAUUUUAGAUAAAUUUAAUGGUUUAAGUUAGUGAGUAGAACUAAAUCAUUAGAUUUCCUUAUAAUUGAUGAUUAUGAUAUGGAGUAAGUUUAAAAAUUUUACUUUAAGUGAAUCCCACUAUUUCUUUACUAUAAUAAAUACAUAAAUAUAGUUAGUGUUGGAUAAAUGAUAUCUACUAAGGACAUUAGGUAUUAUCAAGAUAGAUAUCUCUUUUUGUUGAGACUUCUAUUUAAUAUAGGCAAAAUUGUCAUUACAUUUUGUUGUUAAAAAAUAAUUCAACCAAAAAUUAUGUAUAGUAUAUUAAUGAAAAAUAUAGCACUUUACUUAUGUCUUUAGUUAGGUUAGGGAUAAUUUAGUCAUUGCAUAUAAAUUUGAGUAUACUUUUCUACAUUUUAUAUAUUUUUGAAAUAAUUCUCACCUCAUCUAUAUCCUAAAAGGCUGGAACUUUUUUUUCUCAAUCUAAGUGAUCAUUCACAAUCUUCAUCUCAGAUUUAUUCUCAAACUCAUAAAAAUUGUAAGAGCUAAGCCAAUAAUAACCUUUCCUGUUUUUUUGUGUCUAAAUUUUUAAUAAGAUUUCAAAAAAUCAAUUUUCAUAUUUGGUUUCUUAUAUUGCAAUUUUAUAACGUGUUAUAUUGUAAACUCUAUCUGAAAAGAAAAAAUGGUAAGUAUUGAGUAAGUAAUCAUUUUUCUACUUUUUGGUGUCUAAUGUUUGAUAAGGAUUUCAAAAGGUUUCAACUUUUAUCUUUGAUUUCUUAUAUUGCAAUUUUAAGCUAUAUUAUUCCUCUAAUUAUAUUCCAUUCUGUUUCUUCAGUGUUCUUCUCUACAAAGUUGCAUCUGGUAUUGUAAACUCCAUCUGGGAGAAAUGGUAAGUGCUAAACAAAUAAGCAUUUCUACUGCUUUUUUAUAUCUAAUUUUUAAUAGAAUUUUAAAAAGUUUUGAUUUUUAUAUUUGAUUUCUUAUAUUGCAAUUUUUGUAGUUAUAUUAUUUUCUCUAAUUCUACUUCAUUUUGUUUCUUUAGUGUUAUUCCUUAUGCAACAACUUUUGAUAUUUUAAACUCUCUGGAAAGGAAAAAAUCGCAAGCACUAAACAAAUAAUCAAUUUUUUCUAUUUUUUGUGUUUAAUUUUUAAUAAGAUUAGAAAAGGUUUUAAUUUUUAUCUUCGAUUUCUUAUAUUGCAAUUUUUAAGCUCUAUUGUUUUCCUAAGUAUGUUUCAUUUUGUUUUCUAUAUGUCCUUGACGUUUAAGACUCACCUAAAGUUAAUUUGACACAUAAAUUUAUACAAAUUUGAAUUUUCCAAAUUAAAUUCAAUGUGUAAUUUUGUUCAAAAAAAAUUGGGCACGAAACUCCCAAGAGGCUAUACAUGAAAAGAAAACGAGAAUAAAUGGAGAUAGGAAUAUAUUUACUAAGAAUUGAAACAAGAUACUCACAUUAUUUUUAUUAAGAAUGUAAUAUUUAUGUAUUGACAAUAUAAAUAUUUAUACAUAUUUGAUGUAUUAUUCAUUAUUCAUUUAUUUUAUUUUUAUUUAAGAAUUAAUAAUAAUUGAAAAUAAAUGUUGGAUAAUAUAGUGACAAUAUAAAAUUUUCUGUCUUGCUAACUGAUUUGUCUAGUUGAUAUUUUUGUCUCUUUAUUAUUACAGAUUGUCACCAUAGGAUAGUUGAUAUUUUGUCUCUUUAUUAUCACAUGUAAUUCCAUUUCAAGUACCAUGUCUCAACUAAACUGUACUUAUUAUUAUAAUAACACAAUACUUCUCAUUAACAAACACAAAUGAGUUAAUUUAUUUGAGCCUCGCAGAUCGUAGUACGGAUCGGCUGUUUUCAAUAAGUUUUGGUCCAUUAACAUCUUAAUUUGAGUGUAAUUUAUAUUUGUGUAAGAAUUUAUAUAUAUUUACUAUAUUAUUCGUCAUUUAUUUAUAUUAUAUUUUUUAAUAGUAAACUUAGUGUAUACAUUAUUUUUUCUUUUUACGUUUUUGAAUAGUAAACUUAGUGUAUACAUUAUUUUUUAUUUUUACGUUUUUGACGAGUAAACAAUAGUUAAAUAUGAAUAGUAAAUAAUGUAAUAAUAGUGAAUAAAAUUCAUAUACUAUCAGUGUAUAUAUCAUUUUCUCUUUUAGUUUCCCAUUUUUAUUUAAUGUCAUAAUAAAUAUGAAAAAGCGAAAAGAUGCAUAAUACACUAUAGUGUAUAAGUUUAAACUGUUUGAUACACUGUUACUAUAUUAUCUAUCCUUCAUUUUUAAUUAUUAUUGAGUUUUUUAAAAAAGUGUAUAUGAUACACUAAUUAUGUUCAUAGAUAUAACACUCUAUGAAAAAUAGUCUUUCUAUGUGUGAUAUCUCCAAUUUUGGCCUCUAACCUUUUUCUUUUGUGGAUAAUUGUUCUCCAUGUAUUUAUGUGCAGAGUUCAUCAGCUAAUUUAUAUGACUCCCUGAAAAUCAUUUUCCUUUCGAUCUAUCUAAUAAAAAUCGAAUAACUUAUAUAUUGAUAAACUUAUAUUCCACAAUUAAGUAUGAGUAAAUGUUAAUUUAUGAACGCAAGUGAUAAACCAGUGCUUGCUCAUAAAAAAGAAGACGAUCGAUAAAAGAAAUGAGACAAUGACAUUAUAUUGAUCAUAAAAUCGUAACUUUUCCUCAUUUUCUAAAUUGUAAUUUAUCUAAUGAUAAUCUAAUCUAAGUUAUAACUAGGCUAACCUGAUAAUAUAGUUUUAUUAAACGAAUAAAAAUGAGUUUUUAAAUAAUUAUUUAAUUUUUAUUAAUUGAUUAUUUACAAUUUUAUUUUCUUAAUUGAAUAUAUUUUUAUGAAUGCCUAAUUUUAUUAAAAUAAUAAUAUGUGGAUGAAUUUGGAACAAUUAAAUAGAUAAAGACUAAAAUUGUAUUUUAUAAUUCUAUGUGACACAUAGUAAUAAUAUGGGUAAUGUCACAUCAGAUUGUCAUUGCUUAAGAUGUGUUUCUACUCGGCGAACCGAAGAGUCCCAUGCUUGGUCGCCGAGGUAGGCCCCGCGUGUUGGGACCACCAGAGUUGACCUAAGAGACAGGGUUCACAGCCAGCAAGGCCUUCAACACAAGGUUCAUAGCCAGCAAGGAGCAACCAAGGUCAUCAUACACACUGUCUGGCAUUCGCCAGGGAUCCAAUGAAUCCAUCCGGGCAUACCUAGAUCGGUUUAAUACCGAGGCCAUGAAGGUGCGCACCCUAAGCCCCGAAGUAGCAGUACAUGUCCUCGUUAUGGGACUUCAGGAAGGUCUUUUCCGCACAGAAUUGGCCAAAUACACCGACCUCACCAUGGAAGACCUCUGUUCCAAAGCCCAACAGUUCAUCAAUCUCGAAGAAACCCACCAUAUACACACCCGUACCGAACCCCAAACACAUCACCCCUCACGGGAAACCAAACGGCCAAGACCACACGACCUACCCCGCGACCUACCCUCACUAACCAAAAAAGCCAAAUCCUCCACNNNNNNNNNNNNNNNNNNNNNNNNNNNNNNNNNNNNNNNNNNNNNNNNNNNNNNNNNNNNNNNNNNNNNNNNNNNNNNNNNNNNNNNNNNNNNNNNNNNNAUACCGAGCCCCAAACACAUCACCCCUCACGGGAAACCAAACGGCCAAGACCACACGACCUACCCCGCGACCUACCCUCACUAACCACAAAGGCCAAAUACUCCACCUACACCCCCUGAACGCCAGCCGUUCACGAAUUCUGCAAGAAGUCCUCUCCACUCACCUCGUCCAACUUCCACGCCCCCACCCUACCAAGCCAGGCCCGCAAGACCGCUCCAAAUAUUGUGACUAUCACAGCAUGUUCGGCCACUUAACCAAUGACUGCACCCAGCUCCGGGAUACCAUCGAAGAUCUCAUACAGGCUGGUCAUCUACAACGGUUCAUCGCAGGCCUGGAGCAACGUCGGCGAUCACCACAACAUCGUCGACCAGAACCUCCAAGAAGACGGUCCCCCCCGCAAUUUCAACAACGGCGCCCUACCCCACGUCCUCAGGCGGAUAGGCAUCGAACAGACAACCGGAGGCCAAGGAGCCCAGUUGAUAUCAACACUAUCUCAGGAGGUUUUGCUGCCGGGGGUACCUCUAGGACUGCCCAGAAGAAAUAUGUACGGGAUGUAAUGCACGUCGCUGCCAGAAGCUCCCAGCAAAGACAGAACUACAGAUCCACUCCCCCCAUUACCUUCGACGACCGUGAUUAUGAAGGUGUUGUCCGAGGGCAUGAUGACCCCCUCGUCAUCACCGCUAAACUCAACAACAAAAAGGUUAGUCGCCUGUUCAUUGAUCAGGGUAGUUCGACUGACGUUAUUUUUCAGGAUCUAUUUGAAAAAAUGGAGCUCCGGGACCAUGACCUCCUACCUUAUGAAGGACAGCUGGUCGGGUUUUCCGGUCAGGGAAUCACUCCCAGGGGAUAUGUAGAGAUUUGGCUCACAGUCGGCGACCGCCCCAUGAGUAGGACUGUCCAAACAAAGUUCUUGGUCGUCCAGUGCUAUUCAGCAUACAACGCCAUAAUCGGCCGGCCAACUUUGAACAGGCUUGGAGCAAUCGUCUCUAUCCCCCAUCUGUGCAUGAAGUUCCUCUCGAUCACCCUCCAAGUCUGCAUAGUAAAAGGAGACCAACACUUGGCUCGCAGUUGCUACCAGAUAAGCCUCCGCCCCCACUUCAACAAACAGCACGCCCCCCUCCAAAAGACCUCAGGGCGUGCACAUGGUAGAAUUGGACGUCCGGGUGGACGAAGGAGACUUCCGACCACAACCAGAAGGGGAAAAAACAACUCUACAGUUGGGUCAAUCCCCAGGGUAGGUAGUGUACCUUGGCAGUUCCCUUCCGCCAAGCCAAAGGUUACGGCUGGAGACAUCUUUGAAGGCAAACCAGGACCUCUUCGCCUGGUCAGCAGCAGAUAUGACGGGCAUAGAUCCUUCAUUUGCCUGCCAUCGACUGACAACAAAACAAGGUGCUAAACCAGUGGCGCAAAGAAUGCGAAAAAUGGGGGCGGACAGGACCAAGGAAGUCGCUUUAAAAGUGGCCGAGUCGCUGGAGGCGGGUUUCAUCCGCGAAAUCACCUAGACCACGUGGUUGGAAAAUGUUGUGUUGGUAAAGAAACCAUCAGGGAAGUGGCGGAUGUGCGUGGACUACACAGACCUCAAUAAGGGAUGCCCUAAAGACCCUUAUCCUCUCCCAAACAUUGACCAUUUGGUGGAUAACUCUUCAGGAUACCAGUACCUGUCCUUCAUGGACGCAUACUCUCGUUACAAUCAGAUCCCGAUGUACCCUCUCGACCAAGAAAAAACUGCAUUCAUCACUGAUCAAGCCGCCUACUGCUACACUGUCAUGCCCUUUGGUUUGAAAAAUGCUGGGGCAACUUAUCAAAGGAUGAUGAGCAAGGUGUUCGCCGGCCAGACUGGAGAGCAAAUGGAGGUCAACAUGGAUGAUAUGAUCGCCAAAAGCCUCCCCGACGAAGAUCAUGUAGAAAAGCCUUCCCGGCGAAGAUCAAGUAUCCAUUUUGGAAAGCAUUUUUCGGCAACUCCGCAAAUACAACAUGCGGCUAAACUCCAAAAAAUGGACUUUCGGAGUGGAGGCGGGCAAAUUCCUCGGUUUUCUUCUGACCAGCCGAGGGGUCGAAGCAAAUCCAUCCAAAUGCCAGGCAAUCAUCAACAUGAGAAGCCCCUGCACGGUCAAGGAGGUCCAACAACUAAAUGGGCGACUAGCUGCGCUAUCCAGGUUUCUCCCAUCCGCUGCAAAGCAUUCACUUCCUUUAUUCCAGUUAUUGAAGAAGAGCAAGAAGUUUGAAUGGUUUGAGAGUUGCGAAGAGGUGUUCAACACUUUCAAGCAAUAUUUGGUCGCCCCGCCUAUUCUCUCCAAGCCAUUACCUGACAAAAUCCUGUAUGUAUACCUGACCGUGUCUGACGGAGCAGUAGCGACCGUACUGAUACGAGAAACGACAAAAGGUCAAAACCCGGUCUAUUUCACAAGCAAGGCCCUGCAAGGCCCGAAAUUAAGGUAUCAGAAGCUGGAAAAAGUGGCAUAUGCGUUGUUGGUCGCCACACGAAGAUUACGCCAGUACUUCCAAUCUCAUACAACAAUCGUCAGAAGUAAUCAGCCAAUCAGGCAAAUUUUGCAUAAGCCAGAGUUGGUCGGGUGGAUGAUCACAUGGUCAAUAGAACUCUCCCAAUUUGACAUCCGUUUCGAACCUCGCACGACCAUCAAGAGCCAAGUCCUAUCUGACUUCGUGGCCGAGCUAGCCGCACCAGAGGGCGAUCCAGAGCAGGUAUGGACUACCUUCGUCGAUGGAUCUUCUAACCCGAGAGGCAGCAGGGCUGGAAUUCUUCUGGAAGAUGGGCAAGGAGUAACCAUUGAACAUUCCCUUACUUUCACAUUUCCAACAUCCAACAACCAGGCAGAGUAUGAGGCGUGCAUCGCCGGACUACAGCUAGCAAGAGAAGUGGGCGCCCAUAAGGUAUUAAUUUGCAGCGAUUCUCAAUUACCCGUAUCUCAAGUUUCAGGUGCAUAUCAAACCAAGGACGCCCUCCUCGGAAAAUAUAUGCUCAAAGUGAAAGAGCUCAUGGCCGACUUCGAUGAAGCGACCAUUCAACAUGUACCCCGAGAAAGCAACGCCCGAGCAGAUAUCUUGUCCAAAAUCGCCAGCACCAAAUGCCUCGGGAACAAUCGGUCCGUCGUCCAAGGAACAGUCUACCACCUAAGUGUCAUGACAGUGGAACGGGUAGAGAUCCCAGACGACUAGAUGGGCCCUUUCAUCUGAUACAUCCUCCAUGGCACCAUACCUCCCGACAUGAGGGAAAAGCAACGGUUCCUCAGGUGUUCCUCUUGGUACAUCCUGCUCCGGGGAACACUGUAUCGACGAGGAUUCACCGCCCCCUUGCUCAAAUGCCUUGGUCCAGAGCGGGCGGAUUACGUCCUCAGAGAGGUUCACGAGGGAAGUUGUGGGCAUCAUUUGGGCGCCGCCUCACUUGCUAAGAAGGUGUUUCGUGCUGGGUACUACUGGCCCACAAUGGAAAAGGACGCGGCCGACCUCACUCGAAAAUGCACUCGUUGCCAACUUUUCACCGAUUUCCACAAAGCCCCACUAGAAGAACUAACCACAACACAAACGCCUUGGCCUUUCUGUAGGUGGGGUGUGGACAUCCUGGGGCCUUUCCCUCAAGCAGCGGGGCAACUGAAAUUUUUGACUGUCGCCAUAGAUUACUUCACUAAAUGGAUAGAAGCGGAAGCAUUGGCUACUAUUACCUCAGCAAACAUCCAGAAGUUCACCUGGCGAAGCAUAAUCACUCGUUUCGGCAUCCCUCCGCCAUAGUGACGGAACGGAAACCAGUUUGCCGAUCGAAGAUUCCAAGAAUUGUUACCAGGCCUUCAUAUCAAACAACACUUCACUUCAGUAGAACAUCCACAGACUAACGGACAGGUCGAAGCAGCAAACAAGGUCAUCCUGAAAGGGCUAAAGAAAAGGCUAGACGAGUCAAAGGCAAACUGGCCAGAUCAACUCCAUCACGUGUUGUGGGCAUAUCGAACCACUCCACACUCUACGACCGGCGAGUCACCAUUUAACUUAACAUACGGCGCAGAGGCCAUGAUCCCAAUCGAGAUAGGAGAACCUACUUGGCGAACAAUUCAAUUCAACAAGGGCGAUAAUCAAUCCCUCCUCAGAAACAACCUCGAUGAAGUGGAAGAAAUCCGAGAAAAGGCCCGUCUCAGAGAAGAAAACAUCAAAAAGAAAACUGCGGCGAAAUUCAACUCUUCAGUCGUUCCCCGCCAAUUUCCCGAAGGAACUCUAGUAUUAAGGAGAGCAGACAUAGGACGGGUGAAAGGCAAGUUAGGACCUAAUUGGGAGGGGCCUUACCGCGUCAUCAGCAAGAUCGGCAAAGGAGCAUACAAGCUUCAAGACUUAGCAGGAAAAAACAUCCCCAGAACUUGGAACACCGCCAACCUCCGAAUAUUUUAUGCCUAACCGACAACCCCAUGCGCGGUUGGUCGUUUCUUUUGUAAUAUUUUCCAAUUAUAUAUAUGAUUGAGAUAUUAUGCUCUGCAACUGUCUUGAUGAAUCAUUUCCCAGCCCUGAAUUUUUACUUUCACCCAAGGGGCUGGUCUUCGCCCCCCUUGCCUGGUGCAGUCUCCAUGAUUUUUACUUUCACCCAAGGUUCUGGUCUUCGCCCCCCUUGCCUGGUGCAAACUAUGGUUUUUACCUACACCCAAGGGGCCGGUCUUCGCCCCCCUUGCCUGGUGCGGUCUCUAUGAUUUCUACCUACACCCAAGGGGUCGGUCUUCGCCCCCUUGCCUGGUGCGGUCGCUAUGAUUUUUACUUUCACCCAAGGGGCUGGUCUUCGCCCCCCUUGCCUGGUGCAAACUCGAUGAUUUUUACUUACACCCAAGGGGCCGGUCUUCGCCCCCCUUGCCUGGUGCGGUCCCUAUGAUUUUUACUUUCACCCAAGGGGCUGGUCUUCGCCCCCCUUGCAUGGUGCAAACUCUAUGGUUUUUACCUACACCCAAGGGGUCGGUCUUCGCCCCCCUUGCCUGGUGCAGUCUCCAUGAUUUUCACCUACACCCAAGGGGCCGGUCUUCCCCCCCUUUGCCUGGUGCAAACUCUAUGGUUUUCACUUCCACCCAAGGGGCUGGUCCUCGCCCACUUAUUGGUUUUCUAUAGUCACUAAGAGACCGUUUUGCAUUGACCUUCGCCUGACUGAAGGCGUUCAAAUUCAGAACCAAAUCUAUCACGUUCAAAUUAUCCAGAAACACAUCGUCCAAUUGUUAUACGGAAUUACACAUAAGAAUUUAAUAAAGGAGAUAAGUGUAAAAAAUAUUCAUUAAGAGGAAAACAAGUUACAGGGCAAUUAGAAAGGAACAAAAUUACAAGGUACUUAAAAAUAAAAAUUACAAGGGCCCCCAUCCUGGCCAGGAAAAGACAUCAAAACCGGCUCACCGUCGUCACCCCCCACUAGUAGGCGCCCGUCUUCAACAUAGGCCCCCAGCUGAAUCCAAGACCAGUCUUUGUCUGGGAACGCCAGAGCUAGUUGGGACUAGGCACUCUCCCAAGCAUCCGCCGCGGCCUCACCCACAGCCUGCUCCAGCUGCUCUUUCUCAGUCUCAACGGCCGCCCGGCCCUCCUCCAAUGCCCGCACCCGAGCCUCCCAAGACACCUUCUCUUCCCCUAAUGUCUGCACCUGCCCUAGAAGUGCAGCCCUUUCUCGCUUGGUGGCCUCAACACGGGUUUUCCAAGCUACGGACUCCCUUUCUCGCCGGCGAAGCGCUUCAUCUUUGGCACGGACAAUCCCUUCUGAUUCCAUCACCUGGGCGGUCAGUUUCACCUUGUCGCUUUCCAAAAACCCCACACGAGCAGAUAGAUCCGCCGCCUGGGCCUUGGUGACCUCACCCAGUCUGAUCAGCUCCGCAUUCUCAGCAGCAUGAAUAUCAGCCAUUUUCUGCUUCUCCGCCUCAUGCGCAGCCCAGAGUUUCGCCGUCGCCGCAUCCGCCAUUCGUGACUCCAAAACCCCGUCCACCUCCAGAUACUUCUGGAUAGAAGCAAUAAAAACGACACUUCCUUUCACAUUUUGCAGAAGGACGGACAGAGGUAACUUGUCGAAAGUCUCCUUGGCAUGGGCAUUGAGGAGCGCCUGCUCAAUAACCCUAUGGACACUAACAGGGGAAAUGCGGUUCUGACUCCCCGUGGCACCUUUCUUCCUAGUUGACUCAGAUGAACGACCAACAUCCUCUCCAGCUGUCUGCCCAGAGGAAGGGGGCGCCGAAGUACCGGCUUCGUCCCCAGUUAAUGCGGGCGGAGGGAUUCCAGCAGGUUCAGCGGGAAGAACUGCUUCAGUUGGCACGACAGGAGGCAUUUCAGGAGCACUAUGGACCAGCUCUUGUUCCACCAAAUUCUGAGGCGACCCCCCACUCUCUGAAGAGGGCAGCGUAUCUGUCUGGCUGAGAGACCCAUCAGUAGGACAGGGGAUGGGGGAUGACGUUCUCUGACGCUUAGAAGAAGCAGCAUCUUUUUUAACCAAGGCGGCAGUUCUUUUCAAAAGCAGACUCUUCCUCAGCUUCUCACUCAUCUUGGCCUUUAGUUUGACUGCACAAAAAAGAAGAAAAACUUUAAUAACAGGAUAAGCAAAGGCAUACAAGCAAAGCAGUAAAGAAGUUGAAAUCCGGUCCCCCCACCAACAAGGUCCACUAAAGCCCCGCCCCCAUCGUGAAUCGCUGAACAAGGAAGAAUUCCCCCCUCGUCAAUCCAGUAAGUUAUGAGUUCAGCAGCUUUCGCCUCUUCCGGAGAUAAGUCCCCGGUCUCCACCAAAAAGCCAUUGGAAGGGCGUUGAUGGAUGUCCCCCUUCCAAGAAAAGGGGAAUCGCGGCUUGCCGGAUUUGCUGAGGCACCAGUUAUUCCACGCCCGCCUGACGUUGACCUUGAAAUACCCGCCCAUCCAUUUCUUCUCGUUUGAAGAAAAUGGCGUGAGCAGCCCCCGUUUUGGCCGAGAUAUCAAACUCGUCCACCCAUGGCGCCCUUCCUUUUCUUCAUCGAAAUUGGUGCGAUGACCGACCCGGAACAUCCAGAAGAAUAGCUUUAGAGUACAAGGAAUGCCCGCCGCCUGGCACAUGAUCUCGAACGCCUGAAUAAACCCCACGAAUUUGGGGUCAGUUGGCUCGGUGCAAUCUGCAGAUGCACCAGAAUUUGAAUAUCCCACUCCUCGAGUGGGAGACGAAGCCCCAAGCGUCGGACGUACGCCUCGUACAGGAAGAAGGUGUACUUAUCUUUCCUCUCCUCGACGAAGUCAAAGCAGACCCUCUCCACUAACUUAGGAGCACUGGCCUCGAAACCAUGAAACGUUUCUUUGGCCACAGGUAGGCUGACGGAACUCCCAUAGGGGAACGUGCUAGGCGUCCCAAGCACUUCUCUGUCCACCCACCAGUAGCGGGAAUCCGCCCCGACCAACUCCGCCAGAACAGACAGUUGUGGAGCCUUUGCCUUAUAUGUCCUCAUCGUCAUGAACCUGCCAUCACAAGAGUCAUCAGACUCAGACCCUGACUCAGACUCAGACUCGGAACUGUCGCUCAAAUUGAGCUCAUACUUGGCACGCAGUGAGGCCAGAUAAUCAUCGGCGCCCCUCCAGUGAAACCCUGCACCUCCACCUUUGGGAGGAGGAAGGACAACGCUCAACGGUUCAAGAACCUCCACCAAUGCGUAAGACGAAGGUGGCAAUUUUUGGAAACACGGGGGAGGUCCAGGAAGGAUCUCCACGUCGGAAUCAGACUCGUAAUCACAAAUGAAAACCAUGAAGAAUAGAAUGUUACCUGGGUUUUUUGAAGGAGUCGGAAUUAGGAAGAAUCCAAAAGAAGAUCACGCUGGAAGCAAGAAGUCGCAGAAAGAAUUCAAGGGUUUUUUGAAAAUACGUAAAAGAGGAAAUGUCACAAGACCCUCUAUUUAUAGAGAAACCUGGACCAUGGGCCAAAUUACCAGGCCCAUCCAUAUCCUCAUCAGAACCGUAGAAAAACACUCAAGUGCAAUCCAAUCGAAACCCGAGAAACAAGGAAAAUUCGGCGGAAACCAAAGGUCGUGCCACGUGCUGGCAGUUAAGUGACCAGCGGUCACUCCCAAGACACAAUAAAGUUCGGCGGACAUUAAGGGUCACAGUAGAUAAUGAUGAAACGUCCCACUCCAGCUGAUACACUACCCAAGGUCAUUAAUACCUACCACGUGGCGCGAGGAACUAAGGAAACACGUCAUAAAGCCUCAAAGAAACACCAAGCUGCUCAAGAUAGAUCCAUACGCCCAGCUGGACAAUCACCAAGUCUAGAAGCGUCCAUAACAGACCUCGCCCGGCGCCCUGGCCAACUCAAUCAACGUCCUUUCAAUAUCAGGUCGCCAAACCUCAUACGGUCAGACCGCCCUGAAGAAGGUACAGCCUCCCGACAUGCUCGCCCAACGUAGUCACAAACUUGGUCGCCAGGGUGGAUCCCACACCCAAAUCAAACGAAGCUCGUAUAGAGUCUCCCAACAUCCUGGCAGACUGGGGGCAACUGUUCCUACCCGGUGAACCGAAGAGUCCCACGCUUGGUCGCCGAGGUAGGCCCCGCGUGUUGGGACCACCAGAGUUGACGUAAGAGACGGCAUGCCUUCCGUACCUCACCAACCCACCUGCCAGCACAGUAGACAGGCUGUAGAACGGCUACCAAACCAACUACAGGCUAGAAGACAAGAAUGACACAGUGUACGGUCCUGGCAGACCGCCUGACACGGGAAAAACAACUCCCGACAACACCUUUGGUCGGCCACGUGUCGCACCACCAGCCAAGAACCCAAUGUCAACUCUCCCUUCUAUAAAUAGGGAUCUCUACCAACAGGAAGUAUCUUAAUCUCUUCACUCUUUAACAUUACUCAUUCUAUUGUUGUUUGUCUUCAUUAUUCUCACACUCCCAUUCACUGAGUUCAUACACUGACUUGAUCGUCGGAGAACCUUUUCAUGUACCUCCACCGGCGGGUCCAACUCUCCUACUUCAUCCUGCUACUUUGACGACUAUCCCCUUCUCCUUCCUCAGCAGCUGAUCAACCAUUGUCCGUACCUUUGUGUUCUAGUAAAGAACAAGAUGUUAUUGUGGGAAUAUUUGUAUUAACCUUGUUGAGAGAUAAUCAUUUUUGUAUAAUUAUAUAAAAUUGAGGAAUUAAUAAAGUGUUGGUCUAGUGGUAAGACUCCAUUAAAUUUAUAAGAUGAUUAAAAUGUUAAAUAUUCAAUUCAUGUAAGUGAUAUUUGUUAUAAAAGAUAGUCAUAUACUUCAAAAGAGAUUAAUUAUUUACCUAAAAUCGGUAGUACAUAAAAAAAAUAUAAAAUUGAGGAUGAGAAGAAUACGUAAAAAAUAUUGGAAAAGUUAUGUACAAAAGAAAAAUGUGUAAGGAAAACUUCACUUUAUAAUUAUGGGUAUCAUUUAGGAAUGACACGUUAGCCAAAUCCGACUCAUAGGAUAUACUAUUGUCAUUUAGGAAUGACACUUUAUAGAAAAUUACUACUUUAUACAUUUGGUAAGUUUGAGGAUGAAAAUCAAAGAAUUAAAAUCACACAAUUUAAAAAUUAAAAGAAUAAAACUACAUUUUAACCAUUAACUUGUCAGCUUUUUCUUACACAAAUCUAUUUGUCAUUUCAGCAAUGUGGUGGGUGGACCCGUUUAUAUCCAUCCCCAUAAAAAGUGGCUCACUUUUAAACUUUUUUCGAUUCAGAUUCUUCAGCCUAUUUGAUAUUUCACGUGUCAGUUUGUGUAUUAAAAAGGCUAACAUCUUAUAAAAAUAGAAGAGAUAAAAAUCAUAUACCCAUAUACAAAAAAGUCUUAAAAGUAAUAAUACAUUAGUAUAAUAAGAUAAGGCUGCACUAUAAUAGGCACUCAAGAACCCAAACAAAAUUAGUUUAUUAUAAAUAAAAAAAGUAUAAUCAUGUGUAAAGUGUUUUAAAGUUAAGUCAGGAUAGAAGUAAUUAUCAUCAUAAUUUAUGGAAAUCAAAUCAAAUUUAUAUAACAUAUUAAUAAUAUGUGUAGUAUGUUAAUUUUUUUAAUAUAUAGGCAUAUGUAAAAGUACCAAUUGACUUAUAAUCUUAUUUAAAAUUAUAUUGUAUUAUAAUAUGUUAGAAUUAGUCAAUAACAAGUUUGCUUUUAAAAAGAUUUAUUGAAAGUUGACAAUUGUUUUUAUAUAUUUUGUAUUAAAGUUCAUAUAUAAUAAUAAUAUUUAUAUUAAAAAUAGUAUCAUAUUAAUAUAUGGUAGUAUUAAAUAGAUUAUCUUAUUAUGCCUUUUUUUAUCUGUUCAAAGUCUAACCUAUUAAUUAAAUAGACUUUUCUGAAGGUAAAUACGAGCUUAUAAACAGAUUUAAUGUAUUUUCAUCCGUUUUAUUUUACGUGACCAAUCUUUUUUUAUACUAAUAAGAGUAUCUCUUAUCCUUCUGAGUAUAACUAUCCAUCCCGACAAAUGUUGUUCCGAAGAAUUGAACAUUCAAUUUUUUGAUAAUCUUAAGGAUUUGAUGAAUUAUUAUACUGUUAGACCAAUAUAGUUGGUAGUGACCAAUCUUUUAUUCUAUGGUUAAUUAUUAUUUCAUUUUUCAUAAAUAGAAAAAAAUAUCUAUUAAAAAUUGAUGAAACUGAAAGGGUAUUAUUUUUUUCCAUAAAUUUUAAAAUAUCUAUAAUUCAUGCCUCUCUUCUGGUGUUUGUGUGUCAUAGCGACAGAAGAAGGGACAAAAUCCAUUUAUCUAAUCACUGGAAAACAAAGAACAACGACAAAUAAACCAAAAAAUAUUUCAUUUCAUAAUAUAGAAAAAAAUAUCUAUAUAAAAAGGUUGCAGAAAAUGAAAGAGUAUUUUAUAUUUUGCCAUAAAUAUUAAAGGAUCAUUCAUCUCUCUCUUCCUCUCCUUGGUUUAUGUAAUAAUAAUCAACGUAAAACAAAGAACAAGGAUAACUGAAGCAAAAUUCUGAGGAAAAUGAGUGGUUCUUCACAGUUAGAACUAGAUGAUCCUGAUUUUGUUGAAGUUGAUCCAACUGGAAGAUAUGGCAGAGUAUAUACCCUCUAUCUUACUUUUUCUCUUUUCAAUUUCUUCCUCUCUAUCCAUCGCUUACUUGCAUGAUGUUUUUUUUUGUAAUUGUUUGUUGCAGUACAAUGAAAUUCUUGGCAAAGGAUCUUCAAAGAUAGUGUAUGAUUCCAAACUCAUGAUACCCAUUUCUUAAUUUUAUUAAAUUUGAAAUCUUUUUGGUUAUUCCAGUUUAUUAUAAUGCUGGCCCAGUAUUGAUUUGCUAAGAAUUUGAGCUUUCUUUUGUUUUUGUUUGAGUUUGCAGAAAUGGGUAUUUGAGUUUGUGUUUUGUUUUUUUGUUUUGGGACAAUUUGGGUUUUUAAUUGGCGCAGAUAUAGAGCAUUUGAUGAGUAUCAAGGGAUUGAAGUUGCUUGGAAUCAGGUCAAGCUUUAUGAUUUCCUGCAAAGUCCUGAAGAUCUUGAGAGGCUUUACUGUGAAAUUCAUCUCCUGAAAACAUUGAAGCAUAGGAACAUUAUGAAAUUUUAUACAUCUUGGGUGGAUACUGCUAAUAGGAAUAUUAAUUUUGUGACUGAAAUGUUUACUUCUGGUACUCUUAGACAGUAAGUUUCUUUGAAGUUUCAACUAUUUCCCAUCAUCCACAUUGUAUCUGUUCAUUCUAGUUUUCGUACAAUUUAGAUCUUGUACUAUUUUAUACCUUUUUCACUUAUUUUAAUUACCAAAUUAUCAAAUAGGUAUCGGUUAAAGCACAAGAGAGUUCACAUCAGAGCAUUGAAGCAUUGGUGUAGACAGAUUUUGGAAGGACUUCUCUAUCUUCAUAGCCAUGACCCACUCGUGAUCCAUAGAGAUCUCAAAUGUGAUAACAUUUUUAUCAAUGGAAAUCAAGGAGAAGUGAAGAUUGGGGAUCUCGGCCUGGCUGCAAUCCUCCGGAAAUCACAUGCCGAUCAUUGUGUAGGUAUGUCAUUUCCGUAAAUAUCAUAUAAGAAGUUAUCAAGAAAAGAUGUGGCCAGCUGGAAUACUAAUAGUAAUUCGUUCAUUUAGCUGAUGCGUUGUUUUAAGAAUGACAGUUUAACGUAAGAGACUGUUAUAUUUCCGGCAUAGUUGUUGCUUUCAGUAUAACUGGAUAAUUGGACAAGGAUCAGUAAUUCUAGUUAGAGGUUUCAUCUGUGACAGUUUGGUUUCCACAGGAACACCUGAGUUUAUGGCCCCAGAAGUAUACCAAGAGGCAUAUAAUGAAUUAGUCGAUAUAUAUUCUUUUGGUAUGUGCAUAUUAGAGAUGGUCACAUUUGAUUAUCCUUACAGUGAGUGCACUCAUCCAGCUCAAAUCUACAAGAAAGUUAUCUCUGUAAGAUUGCUCUCUUUAGCUCAGUCUUUAUUAUGAUAAGGGAUUUUUAUAUAGUGGUGAGAUUUCAUUGCCAAGAUGGUGAACCAAGGUGCAACAGUAAGGUUGUUUGCCUUGUGACCUGGAGGUCAAAGUUCAAAUCCUAGAACUAGCUUCUUGGCUUGCGAGUAUAAGGUUGUGUACAUAUAUACUCUCCCAGACCCACUAGGUGGGAGCCUCAUGCAUUGGGCCAUCUUUUUUUAGUGAGAUUUCAUUGGCAUUUCAUAUCUCCAGGGGGCAAAACCAGAUGCUUUUUAUAAAGUGAAGGAUCCAGACGUGCGACAAUUUGUUGAGAAAUGCUUGACAACAGUUUCUCUAAGGCUCUCUGCAAAGGAGCUUCUAGAUGAUCCAUUUCUUCGAGAUGAUGAUUGCGAGUAUGAUUUGAGGCCCGUAAACAGUGAUGGAUUGGAUGACUUUGUUCCUCUUAUCGGACAGCCAUACUUUAAUCAGCAUCAAAGCUAUAGUAUAUUUAGUAAUGAUUACUCAAAUGGUUUUGGGUAUGAAGGAGACUGGAGUCCUCAUACAGCUGAGAUUGAAAAUUGUGGAAUUGAACCUUUCGAGCACAAUGGUGAUGAUGAUGAACCCUCUGAAGAGGUUGACAUAAGCAUCAAGGGUGAGAGGAAAGAUGACGAUGGCAUCUUUUUGAGACUAAGAAUUACUGAUAAAGAAGGUUGGGAUGCCACUUUUUUAUCAUGUCUGUACUUUAUACCUGGGAUUUGUGUAUUUUCGUUAUGCAUAACGGUCCGAAUUAAUUGUUUAUCACAGGUCAUAUUCGAAACAUUUAUUUCCCAUUUGACGUAGAGACAGACACAGCAAUAAGCGUGGCAACUGAAAUGGUUGCAGAACUUGACAUUACUGAUCAGGAUGUUACCAGUAUAGCAGUUAUGAUAGACGGGGAAAUUGCUUCCUUAGUACCUGAUUGGAAGCCGGGACCAGCAAUUGAGGACACCCAUUUUGCCAAUCAAGGUUUAUAUCAGAAUUGUGCGUCUAAUCACUCUCGUAAUGCCUCUGGGCUGAAUUUUCUUUCAAACAAUCCAGGUAGCAAGGACUUGCAAUCCGAAGAGAUCACGUUCCAAGCUGAGGAGUAUGGCAACCGGGUUAGAGAAGAUGUACUUAACUCAUCAAGCCAAUCAAAUUUCUCACAGUAUCAGGAUUGUUGGAGUCGGCAUGAAAGUUGUGAACUGAGUCAGGUAGAGUCUGAUCAAAGCCAUCAUCAUGAACCAUAUGGACAGUUUAACAAACCAGUAUCAGCUGAAGCCAGAGGACGAAGUGCUUUGGAAAAAAAAUUCACGCCCAAUGCAGGAAAAUCCUGGCCAAAAUCAGUAUCCCAAGAUUUCUCGGUUAUCCACUCUAUGUACCGUAGCUUGAGAAAGAGUAUUAUAAAGAUAUCCAAAGGGAACUGAGAUUUCUCAAGCAAAAUACCAGAUGGAGUUAAGGGAAAUUAUGGAUCAAAACUUUGGACUAACAGUUAAAUCUUCGUAUAGUAGUAACAGAAAACACAAAACAGAGUGCGGCUUUUUUGACACCUUCAGUGACAGAACUUGAACUGUGAUUUCAGUAGCUAUCCUCAUGUAGUCAUGUCCAUAAGAGCAGCCCGAAUUCGGAAACCCGAAUUGUGAGGCGACUGAAUCACAUGGAGAAAAAAGGUAUGGUUGCUGCAAACAGUUUUUGCACAGGACAGUUUCCUUGCCAGUUGAUGCUGCUGAUAUAUAACUUUGUGAUGGCCUCAUUGAAGAAUUAUUUUGUACAUUAUAUAUAAAAUUCUCACAUAGAGGCUAUCUGAUUUCUACAUCCCCAGACUUUUUUCUUCUAGGGAUAUCAAAUUGUGCACAAAGAAACCUUUAGCUACUAGCUAGAACCUCUUUCCUUUAUAAGUAUCACUUUUUUGGGACAAUGUUUGUUUACAAGUGUUUGUUUUCAAAAUUGAAGAAAUACUAAUUAUUCAUUUAUCAAUUAUACAAGUGUUUGUUUUCAUGAUUGAAGAAAUAAUAAUUAUUCAAUUAUACCAUGAGAAAAAAUAUAUGGAUCGUAAUAUCUAUAUCUUGUCAGCGUAAAGAUUUAUACAUAGUCAUCACAUACAUGAUCAAAUAUGAAUGUCGAAAUAUGCAAUAUAGGGCAUAAAAUUCAUACAUUGUCAAUACAUAUAUUUUUUUCUCAAAUAUAUGUACUUAUAAUGUAAAAUAUUUAUACACUAUCAGUACAUUAUUUACUGUUCAUAUUUAAUCGAUUAUUCAAAAAAUAAAAUAAAUGAAUGGUGAUAUUCACCUAUAUAAUUAUAUUGAUAUUAUACUCUUAUAUCAUUACUAUCGUUAUGGUAGAAAUAGAGAAAAUAAUUAUAGAAUGAAGUGGAGAGAGCACUUGAAGAGUGUAUAAAAGAAAAAAUAUUUACAAAUAUAAAAUAACAUAAAACUAACUCAGAGAUAGUUCUCACCACAACAUUUCCUUCUUUGGAGUGAGGCUUACAAAACUCUUCAAAUAAUAAUAUAAAAAAGACAUUCAUUUUCCUUGUCAAAAUCAAAUGAUCUUGUUACAGUAUAUAAAAAAGGUUCUUACGUUGUCAUUUCGUUGCAUCAUGAUCAUGGAAUGUAUAUGCUAUGACGUUGAAAUCGAAAAUAAUGCAAAAGGGAGGACAAUCAUUGUAUUGUAUUUAUACUUAACUAUGCAUGAGCGUGAUGGUUGAUAAAGAAUGGGGCUCAAUCGCUGAACGGACGUUGACAAAUCAAUCAAUUAUUAUUUGCUUUAUGAUGAAUUAUUUCCACUUUUUUAUGUGUAUCAGGUUGGUUCUGCUUUAGAUAUUAGAUAUCACACAGUGUAUUAUUUUAUAUUUCAUUUGUGUUCUUCAUUGAAAAAAUAUUCCUAUACAAAAAUUAAUAACUAAAUGAGUUGGGAUAUGAUUCAGGGGAAUAGAAAACUUUGCUGCAAAGUUUUUCCUAAAAUGUAUCUUGGAGACUGUAUGGUGUAUGCUCGUAGGCAUGCUCCUUAUGCUAUUUGGAAAAGUAUUGUGAAAGCUACUAUAAAAUUGGGAGAUGGUUUUAAUCUAUAGUUAGGUAACAAAAACCGAUCUUUCUGGUAUGAUAAUUGGUUUGAUUUGGGCAAGUUGAGUCACCUAGGAUACUAUGUCAAUAUUUCUGACACUCACGUGCAACUUGAGGAUUUCUAGAAGGGCAAAUCCUAGGAUUUUAGUUUCAUUUACACUAUGCUUCCUAUUCAUGUAAUGUAAAUUAUUCAAACUAUUAAAGUCCCAUCUUCGCUUAGCAAUAUGGAUUCUUGGAUCAGGUAAGAUAGUGCAACAAGCUGUUCUAAUUCAGGCUACUAGUGGAUUAGGAGAAAUGAGGAAGUUUCGCCUGCUCAUAGCCUUUGGAGUUGGUUAUGGAGACUCUGUGUUACGGAAAGGUCAAGUUUUUUUGUUGGCUCUCUACUCAUGAUUCUUUGCCACCUAACGCUCUAUGCUUCAGAGGACAUUUGUCUAACACAUCUACCUACUCUGGAUGUAGUAGUGUAUUUGAGGAUAUAAUCCACAUAUUCAUGAACCGUCGUAACUCUGCUUUUUUAUGAUGUUGUAUGGGCUUUAAUGGUCAGGGCUUUUGGGCUACUCAAUCUUUCAGUACUUGACUAGUGGAUAAUGUCAGAACCCAUAAUGGUAAUCUUUUUCUGAUUGGCCUAUGGUGGCUUGGCGAUGGCGUAACGAUUCCAUAUUUGGUAGUAUUGUCCGUGAUAUAGCUUAUAUUGCUUCUAAUGUUCAUCAAGACUAUAGAGAUUGAUUUUCUAAUGAUUCCUUCUCCAUUGGAUUGGUGUAGGAAAGUAUCCAAUGGUUUCGUCUUAAGAGUGGUUGGCUGAAACUUAAUGUAGAUGACAAUUGUAUAAUCCAUAAUCAAAUUAUUGGAGGAGGGGGAGUUAUCCGUAACCAUCACGAACAAUGACUUUCUGGUUUUCUCUUCCAAAAUUGGAUCCGGAUCUCCCAUCCUGGCUGAAUUGCUUACUAUGGAGAAUGGUCUUCAUUUGACUUGGAAUCAAGGACAUCGUGUGAUUAUCUUAGAGAGUGGUUGUCUUGAGGCGAUUCAUAUGAUCACCGAGAAGACACAAAGUCGCUUAUAAUAUUUGGUUCAACCUUUACAGAGCAUUUUUGAGUUACUUAGCAGAAAUUGAGAAGUUCGUGUGCAGCAUAUCUUAAUAUAAAGAAACAUGUUAGCUGAUUGUUUGGCUAAAUUCAAUUUAAAUCUUCUUUUCUCUUCAAGGAUUUGCGACAUGUCACCUACAGAAGCUCUCAACUUUUUGCAUAUGAAUCUCAAUCAUAUCCUUUAGCCUUUAUUUUUUUUAUUUCGGAUGUAUCAAAAAAUAUUACACAAUCAACUAACCAAUUAUACUAAACGAAUAACUAUAAUAAGUGGAAGAAAGGCCCCGUACAAGAAACUUAUGACAUAUUUAUUUUGGAUCGUAUUACAUAUUUUGUUACAAUUUUUAUGACAAAUAAUGUUAAGGUAUAAGAAAAACAACACAUGUUAAAAAUUUAUCCUUCGUUUAUUAGUAUAAUUGGUGACUUAGGUUAUGCCUAUGAGUUAUUGGGACGCAAAAUUUUAUUCAUUAGCCGAAAAUAUCUAUUUUUUGUACAUGCUUUUCUAGUGGAUGAGGUGUGUUGUACAUAUACAUUAUUCUCUUAAUUAUUAAAUGUUAUGUUUUGAUUUUAUAAAUAACUAGUGUGUCGACAUAUAUUUUGUGUCUGCCAGUCUACAUUGUAUAAUAUUAAGUAUUCAUUUUUUAUAUAUUUCAUUUUGCAAAAUUAAAAUGUAUUUUUUAUGUUGGGUGUACUUUAUAUUAUAUUUUUUUAUUAUAAGUUCAAUUUAAUGUGAGAGAGGUGAUUAAUAUAUUUUGGGGUAGUUACCUAUGAUUAUAUGGUUUUUUUUUGUAAAAAUUAAAUAAUGCUAAGCGAAAAAUAGAAAAAUGAAAAUUAUACAAUGGUGGUAGUUACAUCAUGUUUUGGCAUUAUAUUAUUGUUAGAUAUUUAUGGAACGACAAGUGCACCGUAUUGUCCAAGUAAUAGAAUCCGAUAAAAUACUGGGAUAUCGUCCUUAGGGAGUAGACUAGAUUUACACUAAUUCAUACAAUAAUAAUUUGAGUAUAUAUUUACAAUGAUGUUUUUAUAAAAUUUUGUAUUUGGUUGUGAAAAAUCAUAAAUUGAACGAAAAACAAUUAAAAGAAACUGGGAUCGAAAUGCAUCAUUCUUUCCCAUUGACAUUCAUGGAUUCAAUUCCAAGUAACUUAUGAAGUUAUUGAUUCAGAUGCACAUUUCAUUCAAAUCAUUCACAUCAAUCCCUUGAGUGUAAAAUUCUUAGUCAAUAACUCAAAUACCAAUUCCUUGGAUAUUUGAUCGGAUUACUAGCAUUAAGUUCUAUGUAAAAGCAAUACAUACAUCAUUGUCCAUUCCUAGAGCAAUGAUGUAUGAAGGAAGAUGAUCCAGGUUCGGUGUCAAGUUUAACUUCCCAAUUAAACUUGAACCCAAGAACAAGAAAUUAAUAGCAAAUUAAACUCAUGCAUUAAGAAUGAGAUGAACUUCUCAAAAUCCAAUAACAAUUACAAUAGAAUCGAAUCCAUGACUACAAAGGUUAGAAUAUUACAUUUCGAAACCCACAACAAGAUCUAAUCACUCCUUCUCGCUAUUACAACGCUCGAAUCAUGAAAUUAUACAAUAAAAAAUACGACGUAGAAUCGUUUUCACGACUUCUAUCCUAAUCUCCUUGUGUUUCUCUCUAUUUUCGUGCCAAAGAUGUUUCAGAAGUGUUUUGAUAAUCUCCCCUGAUGUCCAAAACUGCCUAUAUCAAGUUCUAAAUGCUACUCUCUCGCUCAUGCUAGGGAUUCUCGCUUGAGCGAGAGAAAAUGCCAUUCCCUCGCUUGAACACAUCGCUUGGGCGAGGGAAACACAUGGCCUAAUUGAAUUUUGGCCCCCAAAUAUUGCUUGAGCGACAGUCCCUCGCUUGGGCGAGGGACAGUAGUAUUUUCUGAUGAUUUUCUUCUGAGGUAUGGCUUAAGCGACCAUUCCCUCGCUUGGGUGAGACUUGUGUUGUUCAAAAACUCAUUCUUCUCUUUUUUUCUCCUUUGUCCAUCAUUUCUAAACCUACAAACAAUAAAACACAAGUAAUUUCCUAAACAAUACAAGAUUUACUAAGUUAUUGGGAAUUGUACGUAAUGAUAGCAUAAAUACACGCUAAGUGUCCCAAAAGCAUAUAAAUUUCCUUAACAAUUUGGCACUUAACAAUUAUACAAGCGUGGCGACAAGCACUUCAUGCCUGCCGACCAAAUUCUUACUUUUUUGUAUCAAAUAUUUGUAAUUUACAGUUGAAUUUAUUCAAUUGGUAUCAGAUAUUUUUUGGUGUAAUGUUAAAUUUUUAAAUACACUUUCAAAAUAAGAAGAUGAUGAUGGCAAAAUAAGAAGAUAAUAUUAUAUAUUUUGUUGUAGAAAUUAGAAGAUAAUGAGGGUAAAAUAGGGAAUCACAAAUUACAUCAUGGUAGGGUGGUUAUUUUGUGUUUUACCUUUAUUAAGUAGUAUAAAUAAAUAUGAAACUAAAAGUUAUAAAGAUAAAAUAUGAAAACAUAAAAUCCUCUAUGAAUAGCUAUUUUAUGUUUAUAAGUGUUAGUGUCAAUUAGUAUAGAUAAACAUGAAAUGAAAAAAUAUAAAAGAUAAAAUAGAGAAACAUAAAAUAUUUCAUGGGUAGAUAUUUUACGUUUGUUAGUAUUAGUAUAGAUAAAUAUGAAAUUAGGAGUUAUAAAAAAUUAAAUAGAGAAACAUAAAAUACUUCAUGGGUAGUUAUUUUAUGUUUUCCCUUUAUAAAUGUUAGUUGGUACAUGCACUUUGUGCCUAUCGGUGAAUAUGGCAUGAUACUACAUAUGCAAUUUUUAUAUAUUUCAUUUUUUAGAUUUAGAAUGUAUUUGUUAUGUUCGGUGUACUUUAUAUUAUAUUUUGUGUGUGUUUAUGAUAAUGUUUAAUUUAAGGUGAGAUAUGUGGUUAAUUAAUGUAUUGGUGGUGGUUGCUUAGAAUUAUAUGGUUUUUUUGUGAAAAUUAAGUAAUGUUAAGGGCAAAACAGAAAGUGAAAAUUACACAAUGAUGGAAGUUAUUUCAAGUUUUGGUUUUAUAUAUAGUAUAUAUAUAUAUAUAUAUAUAUAUAUAUAAUAUAGAUAUAGAUAUUAUACAAGUGUUUGACAGACAUUUCGUGUUUGUCGGCUUAUAUUCUUAUUUUAUAAUACUAAGUACUUAAUUUUUAUAUUUCAUUUUGGAAAAUUAGAAUAUACUUUUUUUAUAUUAUAUGUACUUUAUAUUAUAUUUUAUUGUCUUUAUUAGAACUAGUGUGUCAAUAGACAUUUCAUGUCUGUCGACUCACAUUCUUAUUUUAUGAUAUUAAGUAUUAAAUUUGUAUUUUUUAUUUUAAAGAAUUAGAAUAUUUUUUAUUUGAUGUACUUCAUGUUAUAAUUUUUGUAUUUAUUAUAAUAUCCAACAUAAAUUUAGAUGUAUUAAUUAUAGUUAUCUAGGAUUAUAUUUUACUUUAGAAAUAAAAAAAUAUUAUGAACAAAAUAAGAAAAUAGAAUCAGUAGUUAUUUCAAGUUUUGGCUUUAUAUAUAGUACUAGCGUGUCGAGAGAUACUUCGUGUCUGCCGACCCACAUUCUUAUUUUAUGAUAUUAAGUAUUAAAUUUGUAUUUUUAUUUUAGAGAAUUGGAAGUUUUGUAUUGGAUGUACCUUAUUGUUAUAAUUUUUGUAUUUAUUAUAAUAUUCAACUUAAAGUGGGAUGUAUUAAUUAUUGUAAUCUAGAAUUAUAUGGUUUUACUUUAGAAAAAAAUAUAUCAAAUGCAAAAUAGGAAAAUAGAAUCAUGACGGUAAUUAUUUCAAGUUUUGGCUUUAUAUAUAACUAACGUGUCGGUAGUUACUCCGUGUCUGCCGACCCGCACUUUUACUUUUUAGUAUUGAAUAUUUAAUUUUUAUAUAUUUCAUUUCAGAGAAUUAGACGUGAUAUUAUAGUUUUUUUGAUAAAAAAUAUAUAAAUGAAUUGUGAUAUUAUUAAAAUAAAAAGCAUUGGUAGUUUGAUAUAUUUAGUGGAUGUUGUGAAUACCCACUUUUGUUCGGUCCAGUGUUCAACAGUUAAAAUAGACUCUAGUGUAUAUUUAUUAGAGUUACUUUGUGAAGAAUUUUGGCAUUUAAGUUUAAUUAUCAACUCAUCACACUAAUCAUAUACAUAUAUUAACAUUAUAGGUUUGUCUUUUUUUGCAAUAAGAGACACUUUUAUUAAUACACAUAAACUGAUUUUUUAUUUUAAUUAUAUAUAUUCAUAUUUAAUUCAAAAAUGUGAAAUAUAUAAUAAAAAUAAAAUAACAAAUUGAUUUCUAUUAUAAUUAUUUAUAUCAAUAUUUAAUCCAAAAAUAAAAAUAAAAAGUUUAUAUUAAAACAAUAAAUGAAUUUUGGAUGGGAGAUAAUGUCUAAAGGGGUGGAACCACUUUAUGAAAGUGGGGGUGGUUACCCAGUUUUUAGGAAGAGAGGUUUCCUGGUUUUUAGAUUUUAAAAGAAAGAAGAAGAUUUUCAGAAGGGGAUACCAGCAACACGUAAAAGAGAGAGAAAAAGAGUAAAGGAUAGAACAUUGAAAAGUGACCAGAGACAAAUUCAUUUUAGAGAUCAUCCGUAGUAAAUCCAGAAACCCUGCACCAUUAAUCCAAAACCAGCUCAUCUAAUAACAAGUCUAAAAACCCCAUUCUAAAAUUUAGAAACAGUAGAAGACGAGAUCAUACAUUGAAGAAACAAGGGGAACCAAAGUGCAAAGAAAGGAAAGAAGCUAGGAAUCUAAAAAGGUUGGUAAUCACGUGUACCAAUAUUUAUUUGUGUUUUUUGUUUUCUUUAGUCUUUUAACAUGUUAUAUGUCAUCAAAUCAUUCAUUGUGAUUCUUUUUUUAGAAUUUUUGUUUAUUCUUUAGUGUCGUAUUAUUCUCAAAGGGAAAUAAGUCUUCAAAGGUUUUCAUCCAAGUUUCUAAGAAGUUUUCCUUGCAAUCUUUCUAUCAUGCUUCAUUAGUAUGUACAUAAGUUUUGUAUCAAAAAUGCAUAAAAAACACACACAGGGAGUAACGUAAAAAAACAGAACGUUGCACUAAAACUAUUAGAAACCCAAUUUAUAGCACUGGUACAAUAAAGAUAAAAAUAUUAAUUUGCCUCUCCUACAACCAUAUUCAUUCCUUUUUUACAAUUUCUCACAUUCUCAACAUAAACAUUCUUUUGCCAUCACCCCCAUAAACCCAUGUUCAGGUAUACUCAUUCUAUCAUUUAACAUGGCAAAACAAUAUUAAAAGAAAAUGAAGAAAGAAGACAAUUUCACUUCAUCAUUCCCCAUAUCCUUCUAAUACUUCUAGUUGACCUCAGGGGGAACCAUAGCCACCACCAGGGCCAUAGAACCAGGGAGUUCAGCCAUUAGAGCACAAGAACCGCUCCUCAUCGUCACUAAUUACCGCAAACCACCAUAGCCAAUAAGAUCGAGAACUAGAGAAGAAAAUACUAGAUCAAGAGACGCGAAAGUGAAAGACUUUUUUUUUCAUCUUACCACUGGAGCCAUGGAGACUACAUGUUCUCCGCCAAACCGCCACCGCCAAACCGCCACCGCCAAACCGUGUUGAGGCAAGCGGUUCGCCCCAAGUUCGUGAGCCAUAGCCACCACCGUGGGCAGUGCGGCUCCCUCUGCCAUUUCCAUCGCCUAAGCUGCAUCAUCCCUUCGUCGGAGCAGUGUUCCUACAUCAAUUCACGGUUCCGGAGUCACUAAAAGGGAAGGACCCUCUUGCUGAAGUUUCUCAAGUCUUUAAUAUAAGAAGAUGACCUAACCUUUUUUUAAUUACACACUCCCAAUAUAAGUUGAAGACUUUAUGUAGACCCCUAACCCAAAAGCCCACUGGUGUUAAGUUAAGUUUAUAAAAAAAAUGCAAAAGUUACGUGCCUAUUUUUAAUAGUGAAGAUAUAUUUAUUUGCUUUAUUAAAAUUAGCUAACAGAGAAUUCAAUCUCUUUUGGUAGGAUUAGUAGUGCGUUAUUACAUAGUUAGAAUUGAAUUGAUUUCCUUCUUUUAAAAAACAAAAAAAAGUAGUUAAGUUUCAAGUUAAUUUCUUAAACAAUAUGUUAAUUAUUAGUUUUAAGAUUUAAUAGGAGGGUUAAAACUCGUAUUGUAUCGUUCUUCUCACUUCAAGUUGAGAACCGGUCGCGGUCACUUGUGUUGUUUCUGUUAUCUAUCGAAAUGAGAAGAAGGUAAAUAAUCAAUGUUGAUUCUUCGUCUAUUAAUCUCACUCCAACUAAACUCAAACGAAUUCUAAACUUUAUUUUAAAAGUAUAAUGAUAAUAAUAAAUUUUAAUUAUUUUUGGGAUAUAAUGGUGAGGUUACAACUCGUAUUGUGUCUUUCUCUUUGCUUCGAGUCGAGAAUCGGUCGCGGUCAUUUGUACUGCUUCUGCUAUCUAUCGAACUAGGAAGAAGGUAAGCAAUCAAUGUUGACUCUUCAUCUAUUAAUUCCACUCUAAUUAAACUCAAAUAAAUUUCUAAAUUCUAUUUUAAAAAUAAGAUUAAUAUUAAUGUUUUAAUUAUUUUGGGAUUCAAUAGCCGAGGUUACGACUCGUAUUGCAUCUUUCUUCUCAUUUCGAGCUGAGAAUCGGUCACGGUCAUUUGUACUGCUUCUGCUAUCUAUUGAAGUGAGGAGAGGGUAAGCAAUCAAUGUUGACUCUUCGUCUAUUAGUUCAACUUCGAAUAAAUCCAAACAAUUUUUAACUUUCUUUUUAAAUCUAACCAAAUUAAUUUUUAAAGAACUACGUAGUCUUGAUUUCCCUAUUGCACCCGAGGAUACGUAGGAGCAAUAUGAACUUGUCAGAUACAAAUAAAAAAAAUGAAAAAAUAUUUUGGUGAAGCGAUUUAAUUUAAAUAAAUUAAGGGUAUUAAAUUUAUGCAAUUAGUUAGGGUACCAUUUUAUUACGGGCGAACGAGGUGCUAAUACCUUCCCCAAUUCGUAAUCGGCUCCCGAUCCUGGAUAUCAAAAAUCCAAAAGCCCAAUAUGAUUGGGCUUUAAAGAUUUUUAUACAUUUUUAACCAUAAAAUAUAGUGGCGAUUCUAAGAGAUCGCGUAACCGAAAAUCGGGGCGCGACAGCUGGCGACUCUGCUGGGGAGUAUUUUUUUAAGAGGGUCAGGCCCAGUACCACUUUUUGCAUGUUUGUUUUAUACCCUUAUGCCUUCUUUGUUUGUGAAAACUUGUGUAUGCAUCUUUAUUUAUGUUAUUUAUUUAUUUUUCGAGUUAAUUAAUUAUCUUGAACGUACUCACCUAUUUCUUGUGCAGCUUUUGAGGGGCGGAUUUAUUUUAUGGUCUAUGUGCUUCCUCACACACUCACUUGGUACACUUGAGUUGCACACGCCCUACACCCGGGUGUUAGAGAUUAAGAUUAAGAUAGGGGGACAUUUUCUUUGCCGGUAAGUGACCUUGUGUCACAUCGAGUAUUGGCGUGAUGAACCACCUAGAUUGUUCCCAUAUAUCAUGAGUUGGCUGCAUGGGGAGCCAGUCUCUUCUCGUAACUAGCUCAUGAUAUAUGGUUUCCAUUCUUUUUAAGAUUGGAUGCAGUCUGAUGAUAUUUAGAAGUCUAGAGCUUUAUCGAGUCCAGUUUAGUCAAGACCUAGCAUUCCACUAAGGGUUGCAGCUUUCAAAAAAAAAAAAACCUUCUAAGUAUACCUUACAUAGGACACUGGAAGCAAACCUUAAUCCACUUUCCAGUUGCAUCAAUGUACACUAUGAAACGUGAUUUCCAUCAUUCCAAACUAUUUUAAAUAUGUUAGUGAAUUUUUUUUUAUUAAACAUGAUUUAUAACUUACCCCCUAUGGGCCCAAAUACCCUCGGGACAUUUUUAUAUCAACAAAAUUGGAUUGUACUCUUUUAUUAAUUUCAUUAUUCUAUAUCAAACAUUUUCAUUUUAUCCUUCAUUACAUAUCAUGCAUCAUUACAUUUUAUGUAACAUCACAAAUCAUUAUGUUCAUGCAUUCAAGUAACAUUUUUUAUCCUUAAUAAACAGAUUCCUUUUCAGAAAAGAGAUCUGCGGUAUAGUGAGACAUGAAGGCUAAUUCUCUUGUUAUGGGUCAAAGCAGUAAUUUAUUGGUGAAAAGGGAAUAAAAGCUGAGGUACAAGGAAUAGAUGUGAGCUGUUUGAUAGAGUUGAUUCCCCAGAUCCCUCAAGAAAUUCAGAAUAAGUUCAACAAAGAGUAUGGAAGGCUGAUUGAUCUACUCCUUAUCACUGUUGAUGCAGAUACACUGAAAGUUAUGGAUGCCAUGGUUUAGUAUUGGAGUCCAACUUUGAGAGUAUUUGAGUUUCCUAACUUAGAUGCAUCACCUACGAUCGAAGAAUAUGAGGUUCUGCUGGAUAUUCAGGUAAGAGAUAGAGAGAAAGUCUAUUUGUUCACUGAGGCUCAGAAUGUUACAGAAGACUUGAUAGAGAGGCUCGUUGGGGUACGUCCGAGUUCGACUAACAUCAUCAAACAGGGGAUGACCUUUGGGCUCAAAUGGAAAUUUUUUAAGAAACAUAUUAGUCAAACAGCGGAGCAAGGAAAAUGGGAGUUGUUCAAACCAGCAUUCGCCUUGACAGUCUAUGACAUGAUCUUGUUCCCAUUUGUCCAUGACAUGAUCUUGUUCCCAUUUUUCCAUGACAUGAUCGAUCAGGCGGCCAUUGAUGUGUUCACAAAGUUCAGGUCGUUUGGAACUAACCCAGUCCCAUCCAUCGUGGCAGAGACCCUACUAUCGUUCCAAAGGUGUCAUGAAAAGGGUCAUUUCAAAAUCUGAUGUUGUACUCAACUGUUGUAUGUGUGGAUGAUCAUCAGAUUCAAACACCAUCAAUAUCCGGAUUGGAGCAGACAUCCCCUCUUAAGGUUCAGAAAUAUUGGGGUGAAACCAAUGCAGUUGUUGGACUGGAAAAAGUUGUUUGACGAGGUUACUCCUAGGAACUUUGGUACAAAGACUCACUUUUAUGAGAGAUAUUCAUCAAUCAUGUAUUCUUACAGGGAGUACCCAAAUAUGAUAUUAAUGGGACCUCGAGGAUGCAUUUCCUUCACCCCCUUCACUCCAGCUCUGAUACUUGGUCAGCUCAAAUGGGGAAUGACACCGGUACGACCCGAACAGCUACAGGGAUUCUCCAUAUGGUACAAAAGCGAGGAGGCCACCAAAGAGAAAUUGGACUCAAUCAGAAAUGCUUUAAAAAUGAUUCGUCUUUGUGGGCCAAAUGAGUUGGGAGAACAUCAAGUCUUUUACACCGAGGAAUAUAAGCUAUGGCGCAGUGGAAGGCGAAAUGGUCAGGCUGUCCCACCAAUUGCCCAACCACAGAAACUACCUGGUCCAUCUGAGAAUGAGUUGUUGAAGGAACAUAUCAAGCUCUUAGAGGCUAAGCUAGAAGAAGCUAGAGACAUACAUGACAAGGAUAAUCUGGGUCUUGAAAAACUCAACAAAAUCAUCCCCAAUAUGAAGAAGGAUCAAACAAGCCUUAAAAGGGACUAUGCUGAAAUGUGCUCUGAGUCGGGAAAGGUUCGCCUAAUUCGGACAGUAAAAGAGAAAGAUGCAGAAAUAACUGACCAUAUCGAUCGGUUGAAAGCGCAAAGUCAUGCCACACGCAAGGCUGAAGCCAAAGCAAAGUCUAUAGAACUUGAAAUGGAGAAGAUAAGACAGAGUGAAAGGCAAGCAUGGUUUAUUGUUAAAGACUAUCAAUUGAUAUUGGGUGAAGAAUAACAGAAAGAAGAUAACCUCAAAGCCAGCCUCAAAGCUUCAGAGAAAGCCUGCUAUGAUGCAUUAACAGAAGCAAGUCAGCUAUCAGAACAACUUCAAAAACUCAAAACUGCAUAUGAUGAAUUAGUGGCCAACCAGGAAAAUUGGUCAGAUAAUUGGAAGGGAGUACUCGAAGAAAGUCAAUGGGAGAUAAACAAAUGGGAAGGGAGAUGCAGACAAUUAGUUGAUGGUCUCGGUGAUUUUUCUGAUGAUUGGUUGAAGCUGUUCUACGAGGCUAGACAAGAGAUGACUAUGUACCCGGAAACAGAACUUCUUCCAGAAAUGAAGGCAUUUUUUGAAGCUUGUGGGGGAAUAGCUAGGCAACUUAAGAAAUGGCGGGUUGAGGCUACCAAAGAAUUUUAGGAAUAAUGAGUAGGAAAAUAAACAAUAAACGAAUUGUAAUCCUUUGCUUGAAGUACUAAUAAGAUAUCUUGUUUUCGCAACUCUUUAUAUCUAUGUGUGCAAAUGUAAAAUUGACUCCCAUUUACAAAUAAAUGUUAUCUCCAAAAAUGUUUAAAACGUCUUCUAUUUAGAUACAACCUUGGUUUAAAACUAUAUGUUUUCUCUAAUGGUUGUCAUCAAGUAACUGCAUGCGACUUUGUUGGGCACGCCCUCAAAUCACCAUAUGUAGGGCAAGACGUUUAAUGCUAACAACCUCUAACAAGAGAACGAACAAAGAUGCAAUCGAGGUUAGAAACUUGAAGUUUCAUUCUAAAAUUGACUUCAACACAAAAAUGAGACAAUAGGGGCACGCCUCAGGGUCGACAGAAUGCGGGUCGAAAUGUCUUGCUAUACCGAUCCUCUAUACGAAAAGGAAUUUAAAUUUUUUUUUGCAUGCAUCAUUUUUUUGUUCAUUUAAAUAAAAUGAAAAUUUUCUCACCUAGGUAUCAUAUAAAAAUUGCUCCUAAGCAUCCUUACCACAUCAGACUGCAAUCCAAGCUGAUGACAGACCAAGAAUCCAGUAGCAUUGACAACCGGUCUGAGCUUGCCGAAAUGAAAGCGCAAAUAAGUCAGAUGAUGAAAAUCAUCCAGGAUAUGCAAAAGGCUCGAAGCUCAAAAGGAGAUGCCACUGCAUCAGGCGCCAAACCUUCACAAUCCACACAAAAGGUGGGUCCCAAGACAGUUACUGGGGCCAACCGUCGUAAGGGUGUUAUCAUAAGGUAUGAAGACACAACUGAUGGUCAAGAGGAACAACAAUCAGAUGAGGAAGACGACGAUGAGCAAGACGAAGAUCCUACUCAUGAUCUUCCUCCUAAAAACAAGACCACAAGACACCAAGUUGAAGCUAAGAUAAACGGGGGUACCCCAAACGAAUCCUCAAGCCAAGAGAAGGCAGAGCAGGAACUUAUAAAAGA
rnacentral:lncRNA from 1 species